AAUCUUUAUCAAAUGAAAUUAAAGUUUAUUUUAAAACACAAACAACUAGUUCAUUGAAAUGAUAACUUGUUUAGUACACAAACAAGAUCUUACUUAAUACAUAGAAAUAAGAUCUUACGGAACAUAGAGAUUAAAAACAUAGGAACAACAUGAAAAGUUUUUAAAAUGACAUAGAUAUUGAUUAACAAAGAUAUGAACUAGUUUCGGGUAUUUUUUAACCAUCCAUCAAGGUAAACUUGUUUGGAGUCAGGGGUGGAUUUUGGUCUAAUAUCUUUCAACCAUCCAUCAAGGUAAACUUGGUUGGAAUCAGAGGAGGAUUUUGCUUUUUCAGCUCGAGUGUCUUUCAACCAACCAUCAAGAUAAACUUGUUUGGGAUCAGAGGUGGAUUUUGUUUUCUCUGCUCGAGUAUCUUUCAACCACCCAUCAAGGUAUACUUGGUUGGAGUCAGGGGUAGAUUUUGUUCUCUCGUUUCGAAUAUCUUUCAACCAUCCAUCAAGGUAAACUUGGUUGGAAUCAGAGGAGGAUUUUUCUUUUUCAGCUCGAGUGUCUUUCAACCAACCAUCAAGAUAAACUUGUUUGGGAUCAGAGGUGGAUUUUGUUUUCUCUACUCGGGUAUCUUUCAACCACCCAUCAAGGUAUACUUGGUUGGAGUUAGGGGUAGAUUUUGUUCUCUCGUUUCGAAUAUCUUUCAACCAUCCAUCAAGGUAAACUUGGUUGGAGUCAGAGGAGGAUUUUUCUUUUUCAGCUCGAGUGUCUUUCAACCAACCAUCAAGAUAAACUUGUUUGGGAUCAGAGGUGGAUUUUGUUUUCUCUACUCGGGUAUCUUUCAACCACCCAUCAAGGUAUACUUGGUUGGAGUCAGGGGUAGAUUUUGUUCUCUCGUUUCGAAUAUCUUUCAACCAUCCAUCAAGGUAAACUUGGUUGGAGUCAGAGGAGGAUUUUUCUUUUUCAGCUCGAGUGUCUUUCAACCAACCAUCAAGAUAAACUUGUUUGGGAUCAGAGGUGGAUUUUGUUUUCUCUACUCGGGUAUCUUUCAACCACCCAUCAAGGUAUACUUGGUUGGAGUCAGGGGUAGAUUUUGUUCUCUCGUUUCGAAUAUCUUUCAACCAUCCAUCAAGGUAAACUUGGUUGGAGUCAGACAUGGUUUUUGUUUGCUUUGCUCGAGUAUUUUUCAACCAUCCAUCAAGGUAAACUUGGUUGGAGUCAGAUGUAGAUUUUUCUUUCUCAGCUCGGGGAUCUUUUAACCAUCCAUCAAGAUAAACUUGUUUGGAGUCAGAGGUGGAUUUUGUUUUCUCUGCUCGGGUAUCUUUCAACCAUCCAUCAAGGUAAACUUGAUUGGAGUUAGGCAUGGACUUUUCUUUCUCGACUCUGAUAUUUUUCAACCAUCCAUCAAGAUAAACUUGGUUUGAGUCACUUGCAGGUUUUGUUUUCUCAACUCGGGUAUUUUUCAACCAUCCAUCAAGGUAAACUUGGUUGGAUUCAGAGGUGGAUUUUGCGUUCUCUGCUCUGGUAUCUUUCAACCAUCCAUCAAGGUAAACUUGGUUGGAGUUAGGUGUUGACUUUUCUUUCUCAGCUCUGAUAUCUUUCAACCAUCCAUCAAGAUAAACUUGGUUGGUGUCACCGGUAGAUUUUGCUUUCUCAGCUCGAUUAUCUUUCAACCAUCCAUCAAGGUAAACUUGGUUGGAUUCAGAGGUGUCUUUUGCUUUCUUUGCUCUGGAAUCUUUUAACCAUCCAUCAAGAUAAACUUGAUCAGAGUUCUGGGAGGAUUUGGUUUUCUCUGCUCGUGUAUCUUUCAACCAUCCAUCAAGAUAAACUUGGUUAGAGUUAGCAAUGUGUUUUUGACUCUUCAAUGGAUUUUUGAGCCAACCAUCAAGGUAAGGUUGAUCAACUUGUAUUUCUUGUACAUUCUCUUGCUGAAGUUUGAUAUAUCGGGCAAAGCUUCCUUGUCCAUUCUAUAAUACAAUUGAAUAAAUGGAUAUUAGUGAGUUAUUUUUGGAUGGUAUAUAUGAUUACAAAAACAAAAUAAUGUGUUUUAUAAGACACAUUAUGUUGCACAGGUGAGACACAUUCAUUAUAUAUUUCAGAUGGAUACAAAAUGUGAAAUAAAAAUGAAAGAAAAACAAUUUUUAAAAUUUCAUUGCGGCAUAGAAAACAUUAUUUUAUCAAAUCAAAUAGAACAACUUGAUUGUAAGUGAAUGAUGAAAUCAAAUCAAAUAAAGAUGAGAAAUGAUAGAUUGUGAUAAAUAAAUGAUGAAAAAUAUAAGUGUAAAAGAUACAAGAAUGGAUGCAAAGUUAGUAACUUACGAUCAACAAGAGCAUGAUAAAAGGGAGGAGAAACAAAACAUCUUUGUGUGUCAUUUCUUUAAUGUUAUGAUUUUGUGGGAAAAUUGUUUUAAUGUGAAAAGAUGUAUUGAAAUGGAAGUGAAUUGGGCUAUUUAUAAGUGAAUGAAAAGAAAAACUACAUUAAGGAUAUUAAGGACAUUGCGACUUUGGUUGGCAAGAUUAUUUUUUAAAUAUUUAAUUUAUUUUAUUUUUUAAAUGUUUAGUUUAAUUUAUAAGUUUAUAUGUCUAAGAAAGAUCAAUUUACUUUUUCCAAGAUCUAUUAGGUGUGUUGUUUUGAGUUAUAAAUAAAAAAUUCAAAAAAUUGUUUGUUUGGUAUCAUUUUUUUAAUUAGAAGCUCCUAACUAAAUUCUCCAGGUUUAAAAUAAAUAAAUUUUAGAAAAGCUACUGCAAUUAGUUUUUUAUUUUAAAAUUAAAAAUGAUUCUCUUAAAAACUUUAAUAAAAACCUAUUAAAAUGAUAAAGGUGAUUUUUUAAAUGUUAAACAAACAUUUAUUUUGAUAAGUUAUUUCAAAUAAUUUAAAAUUUCAUAAAUUUAUUUUAAUUUAUAAUUGAAGUGGUAAUUAUCAUAAUCUCGUCUCUUGAGUUCUAAUAUUUGAGCUAAUAGUAUAAAUAUUUUUUAGUUGAAUUAAAAUUUGCAUUAAUGAUAGUUUCAAUUUUACAAUUAAUUAAACUAAUUUAGUAGUUAAUUUUAUUAAGUGUAAUAAAUGCAAUGAAUUAAUUUAACUACAUCCCCUUUAAUUCGAGGUGGGUGUAGGUAUUCCGAGACAUUCAAAUUUGAAGACUAAUAUAUAGAUUAAAAUUAUUUAUUAAUUUAUUUAAUGGUAAUUACAUAUUACAAAAUUUCAUUUUUGGAAAAAAGUUAUUAUUUUAAUAUUUUAUAUUUUUUAAUAGUUAUUAUUUUAUAAAAUUAAUUAUAAUGAGUAUAAUAUUUUAAUUUUAUUAUCAUCAAAUAUACACGACAUCAAAAUUACCAAACAUGAAAUCUAAAUAUAGGGAUCCAAUUAAUUGAAUUGGAAUUUACAUUGUGAAUCAUGAGUCUUCUGCCACCAAUUCCUAGGGACUCACUACCUAGCAAACAAUGAAUACAAAAUAGUAUCACAAGAAACACUAAAAUACUGUGUUGACCCUUGCAUGUUUAAGAUGUUCACAUGUAGCUAGGGUUUGGGUGGUUAUGUAGUUAUGCUUACCUAAUAGUAAGACUGUGUUGACCUUUGCAUGUUUAAGAUGUUCACAUGUAGCUAGGGUUUGCGUGGUUAUGUAGUUAUGCUUAUCUAAUAGUAAGUUAAAAAAUUGUAGUUAUCUAAAAAGUAAUAAAUUAUUAUAUUGACCGGUCUAAAGAGAAGAUAGAUAAGUUANGUAGUUAAUUUUAUUAAGUGUAAUAAAUGCAAUGAAUUAAUUUAACUACAUCCCCUUUAAUUCGAGGUGGGUGUAGGUAUUCAGAGACAUUCAAAUUUGAAGACUAAUAUAUAGAUUAAAAUUAUUUAUGUUCGUCUUAUAUAUUUUUUUUUUAUAUUUUAAUAUAAAUAUUUAUUAAUUUAUUUAAUGGUAAUUAUAUAUUACAAAAUUUCAUUUUUGGAAAAAAGUUAUUAUUUUAAUAUUUUAUAUUUUUUAAUAAUUAUUAUUUUAUAAAAUUAAUUAUAAUGAGUAUAAUAUUUUAAUUUUAUUAUCAUCAAAUAUACACGACAUCAAAAUUACCAAACAUGAAAUCUAAAUAUAGGGAUCCAAUUAAUUGAAUUGGAAUUUACAUUGUGAAUCAUGAGUCUUCUGCCACCAAUUCCUAGGGACUCACUACCUAGCAAACAAUGAAUACAAAAUAGUAUCACAAGAAACACUAAAAUACUGUGUUGACCCUUGCAUGUUUAAGAUGUUCACAUGUAGCUAGGGUUUGGGUGGUUAUGUAGUUAUGCUUACCUAAUAGUAAGACUGUGUUGACCUUUGCAUGUUUAAGAUGUUCACAUGUAGCUAGGGUUUGCGUGGUUAUGUAGUUAUGCUUAUCUAAUAGUAAGUUAAAAAAUUGUAGUUAUCUAAAAAGUAAUAAAUUAUUAUAUUGACCGGUCUAAAGAGAAGAUAGAUAAGUUAUUAUAAUCAAAUAUUAUCUAAAAAACAAUAAAUUAUAAGGAAUAUAGUUUCAUUAUUUUUAUGUUUAUUUAAAAAAUAUAAAUAUUUUUUAAAUUAAUGAUAAAUAAUUGAUUUUAAAUGUGAUGAUGGUUUAUAUCUUUACAUAAGAAACUAAAUGAUAAAAUGUGAAUAUUCAUAUCUAACAUUAAAUAUUUAUCUAAAUAUGUAGGCCAGCCUCAUAUUUAUUGUAAAUUUUUUAACAAAGCUUUUAAUAAUGUAAAUUAGAAUAAUGUAGGCCAGCCUCUCUAUUUAUAUAAAAAAAAUAUUUUUUAAAAUAUUUUUAUAAUAAAAAUAUAAAAUUUGUCACAAAACAAUUUUAUUAUUUUAUUAACUAUAAAAAUAUAGGUUAUAAAUCACAUAUUUCAUUUAUAAUUCAUUAACCAGUAAAAUACGUAAUAUUAAUCAAAUUAUAAUAUUAAAAUAUGAAAUACACAAUUUGCUUAAUUAUUAAUUAUUAUAUUUUAUAUUUUAAUGUCAAAAUUUAUUGAUAUUAUUUAUUUUAUUAAUUGAAUACAGUAAUAAAUAAAAUAUAUGGUUAAUCACCUAUAUUUUUGUGAUUAAUAUAAUAAUAAAAUUAAUUAAUAACAAACUUUAUAUUUAUAUUAUAAAAAUAAUUAUAAAAAUAAAUCAAAAACGAGUUUAAGACAACAUAGGAAAAAGGGAGACUCGGAUAUCGUAUCUCAAAGACGGUUGAAUUAUUAUUAAUAUACUGGAAUCGAAUUGGGGGUUUAUAUUUGAUUCAUAAUAAAUGAUUAUGAAAAGUGAUUAUAAAAUAAGUUGAUUUAUUGAUUCGGUUCCUACCUACCAUUGAUUAUUAUAGCGCGAAUGAAAGUGUAAGAAUUAUGUUUCUUAUUUGCUGAAUUAAGCAAUCAGUUAAGAUUAAAGCGAAUUAACGGAUUAAGCAUACGUUAACACGCAAUCAAAAUUAGGGAACAAUAAAUAUUCAAAUCAAACAAAAUUACUAAGUUUGAAAUUGUACCUCAUUCAGGUCUUGGUUCAAGCAUCCCUAUGUGCAUCACAUUUAACUUUGCAUAGGCCAUGAACUCAAGUCUUUUGGUAUGGAAAAAUGCAUAGAUCCAUAUGCCCGAUUCACUUCAUUCAUAUGAUGCAGAUGAUCAAGGAUGAUUGAUCCAUUUAAGACUUAGUUCCAUUGGUUCAUUCUUUGUUGCUUAAGAAAUCUCAGGGUUUUACUAAGAAGAAAGAGGUCGAGACCAGUGUCGUGAUAGUAAAUAUCUACCCUCAAGUUCAAGCACCUAUGACUCAUGUGUCAUACUACCCUUAUCUGUACAUUGUCGCUGCUCAAUAUCAGCAACCUGCAUACCAACCGCAAUAUCAACAGCCUCCAUGGGCUCCAAUUUCUCAGAAUCAACAAAAUAGCAGAAACCAGAGUCUAGGUCAGGGCAGACGUUAUGAUAGAAAACGUCCUCAGCCUGACCAUAUCCCUGUAUCAUACACUCAGUUGUUGUCGUAUCUUGUCCAGUAAGGAGCAAUUGCGCCAAAAGAGAUUCCGCCUGCAACUCCUCCCUAAAAUCACAAGCAUAAUCCUAAUGUGUCUUGUGCAUUUCAUGUCGGAUACAUAGGGCAUUCUACAGAGGAUUGUUUGGUCCUCAAGACCAUAGUACAAGAGUUAAUUGAUCAUAAGGUUUUGUAAUUCUCUGAGGCAGGACCCAAUGUCAUAACCAACCUAUUGCCAGACCACUGUGGACAGAUAGUGAAUGCAGUUUAUGGCGAAGAUUCCUCAGAUUCAGUUGAUUCUUCAGAGAAGUACUGAUGCUAGCAAUAUCAUAUUGAUUCAAUCAUGUAUCAUUUGUAAUCUUUUCUUGUUUGUUAAUUGUUGUUCAUUUGUAAAACUUGUCUGGUUUUUCAGAUGAUAAUAAUAAUGAAAUAAGCGUGCAUGUUUUGCUUAAAUCCAUUCGUGUUCACUCAUAUUUUAUUUUAUCAGUAUCAAAUUGUUUGUCGAACAAAAUCAAAAGAGAAUGAUGAAAUUAAAAAUAUGCAAGAUCGCUGUUUGUAUGCUUUUGAAUAAGAUCAUGUUGAUGAUGCAAGGCAUUGUUCAAUCCCUAAACACCGGAGAUAUAAGGAAGAUAAUCCCUAGUCAACCCAUUUGGAUGUUGUAGUAGGAGUUUCUUUCUUUAACACAUAAAAUCCUCAUGCUUAACUAGGGGCAGGGUAUUCUUCAUUUAGUUUAGACUUGCAUUCAAAUUUCAGAAGGAGAAUAUCUCAUCCAGUGAUCAAUCAUAUCAUAUCCCUCUCAAGAGGAUGGAAUCACAAAUCCAGGAUGGUUAUCCCUUACCAUUCAAAAGGAGUGAGAUAGUCACGACCCAUGCAACAAAUCAAGAAAGUCGUGUCACACGGUUUUCUCUAGUACAAAAAGAAAAGAUGAAAAAAUUAAAAGUCCGCUAAGUCAAAAACUUGAAAACAAGAUUGACUUAUAUGUGUGUGUUUGGGGUGAGUCUGGAGAUGCACCUUCGAACUUCGAAAUGUGUGAGCUUUUUUGUAUUUUUCAUCUCAUGCCCUAGUAAUAUAUAUGGUGCAUUAAAAAAUAUCCAUAAAUUAAGGGAUUUGGUUAACACACUCUUAGGAUUGUUUUUCGACCCUUGUGAAAAAUCAAAACUACCUUUAGAAUUCAGAAAUAAAUCUUUGGACGCACCUCAAACACACACACAAUCAAUUCAUUUUUGAGUCAUGAAGUUAAUUAGGAAAUGCAUCUCCUUAAAUAUUAACGGGGGUGUAUUUUCCAAACCUAUUGAACCACACAGAAUUGCAUAAACCAAACAGAUGCAGAAAUAAAGAUAAAUCACAUUGAUAACAUGAAAAAUGAAAUAUUACAUAGAUAAUCGUUAACAUAAAUCGAACUUUGCAUUUGAACAUCAAGAUGGACGUUUCAACAUAUUUAUAAUAUCUUUUAUCGAUCUCGCAAUCAUCGCAUCCAACUUGAUCAAACAUUUUAUUUCGUAACGGUUAAAUGUAUUUCACAUAACUCUUAAAUCCGCAUCCGUCUUCAGCUUAAAGUUGUUGAACUGAAUCUACCAUUCAUUAUCAACCGAGAGUGAACCUUACUUGAGUUUCACAAUUCUUCAAUGAACUUAAAUGCAAUUGAGGACUCCGCGUAGUUGAGUCAUAUUUCAUGGAGACUCAUAAUGCGUCCAAAAAUGCAUUUCCAAAAUUUUAGUGGCAUUUUUAAAUUUUUAUAGGAUGGUUUUCCAGCACUUAUGUAGAGAUAAACAAUUUCCUUAUUAAAGGUCUCUGAGAGGAAUUGAAAUAAAUAUAUUUAAAAAAUUAGUAUUAUACUUAUUUAAGGAAUAAAGUUUUCUAACCAAAAAUUUUUCCCUAAUUUUUUUGUGCCUAAUUUUUUUGCUAACAAAAUAGAGACCUGAUUAUAUUUCACUAAUUUUCAUUCAUCUCUCAAUUAAUAUCUCUCAUAACCCUCAUUAACUCUCAAUUAAUGUAAUUCAUAUCAAUUAAUUGUUUUUUGAAAAUUUUGUAUCCGGCUUCGGACCAACUAGUUUAGUGAAUUGCUAAUUUCAUCUUUAAGUGUUGGAAAAAUACCUUAUAAAAAUUUGAAAAUACUCUUCUGAUUCCAAAAAUGCAUCUUCGGACGCAACUUGCACCUCACCAAAACACGCUUCAACUUGUUGAUGUUUUUUAUGUAAUUCAAGUGGUGUAACUGGUUACCUCAUGUGGUGUAAACGGUUACCACUAAAGUUGAUUUAAUUCAAUAUCAGAUGUAACCGAUUAUCCACUUUUGUGUAACGAUUACAAGCUUAAUAUUUUGAUUUUUUCUGAUAUUUUACUUGGUCAAUUCAGUUCCCAAUUGUGUUGUAUCUCUUGUAUAAGUGUUUAGAAUGUACACUCAUCUAAGGUUAAUGCAAUAAUAAUCUCUCAUCCUCAAUUCUCCUCUUUCACACUCCACAUCCAAAGUAUCUCCACCAUUAUUCACCAAACUUGUGGUGUCCUGUUCCAACAUUUGACAUCAAGAGUCUGGUUCAGAUCCACAAACACUUAGUGUGCAACAUGAAUUAUGUUUCCAAUGAAAAAAUCCCUCCAAACCUACCUAUCCUUGAUGCGAAGAAUUAUGAUAAAUGGUACAAGGAAAUGAAGAUGUUGUUUGGCUACCAAGAUGUUCUUACAGUAACUCUUAAGAGAAAAUAGUUGUCCCUGACCUACUUUGAGUCUCCGUAGGGAAAUUGGACUGGCAAAGAGGGUAGAAGGAGGAAACUACUCAAGUGAGCUUGAAGCAACAAAGGCAGUGAGUUUAGUUCCCACGCGGGGAAGAACGUUUAUAACAAGAGCCAGGAAGAUAAAUUAUUUUAUAAUACCUUCUCAAAAGUAAAAUGAGCUAUGAGAAAGAGCAAGAAUCUCAAGCGAUUGGCUGAACUUAACCUAGCUCGAGCUACAUGGCGGUUGAUCAAGGGAUACCGGAAAGAGGCAAACAACAGAACCUCCGGGUUUGAAGCUUUUCAUGUCGGGGCGAGGUCAAUCAAGGGUUUUGGGUCAGUGAAAGCUCGAGUGCCCCCUUCAAAAGUAAGGUGUCGGGAAUGCAACCAGUGAGGUGACCCGUUCCGUUAGGGCGGAUGAAAGAAGUUAUCCUGAAGCAGCGUCAAAGGCCUCUGUAGGCCCUUCAACAGGAUUUUUUGUCGUGUAGCAUUCUGUUUUGGCUACUCACGAAACUCUUUAUCCUUAAUAGGAAGAACUCCCUUUAGAGGAAGGAUACAAAGACCAAGCCUGUCUUUCUCUCUUAAAAAGGGCAUAUGGGGCAGGGCAGAAAGACUAUUUUAGGGGACUAAUCUGCUAAUGAAUGAAGGAAGGAGAAGGCCUUAAUUGUCUAUCCAAAGGUCCGCCUUGGGUGGAUUUAGGCGAAUCAAGUGGGUGGGAAUGAUCCGAGCCCCCUAUGUAAAUUUCAGUAAGGUAACUAAGGUUUACAAUAAUUCAUUUCAGUAGUGCGUUACCUUGCAGCUCUAUCUAUCGGGUAGUCAGUCUCUUGGUCAAAAGCCGGUACCUAAUUCCCCUGCUGGUGGGCCGAUCCUCGUCUAGCGGUGGGAACCGGCUGGUAUGGAUCAAUUGCUUGCCCUGUCUCUCUUCUGUUCAACCAUCGAGAAUCCGCAGUUAUCUUUGCUCAUUGGGUGGGCGAAGGAAUCCUUUCUAUUGAAUAAGGGCUUUGAGAAGCAGGCCAUUCCGUUCCAGUUAGCACCGUAUCCCGCUUUUCCGAUAGCAAAGGGCCUUCUAAUUAGCGUGCUUUGCUUAACCCGGCAAGAUCCGAGAUCAGACCUAGUCCUGCUGACCCGCUACCCUUGAAAACAUACUUUUUGCCACCUUACGACUGGUGUGAAGGAACUUAUUGCACAUAUUUAACAUGGGGAAGGAAAGAGGAGGGAAUAAAGCAUAUUUUAGGCAUCGANUUAAGAAAUGUCCAUGAAUUAAGGGAUUUGGUUAACGCACUCUUAGGGUUGUUUUUCGACCCUCGUGAAAAAUCAAAACUACCUUUAGAAUUCAGAAAUAAAUCUUUGGACGCACCUCAAACACACAUAAUCUGUUCAUUUUGUAGUCAUGAAUUUAAUUCGGAAAUGCAUCUCCUUAAAUAUUUAUGGAGGUGUAUUUUCAGAACCUACUUAACCACAAAGAAUUUCAUAAACCAAACAGAUGCAGAAACAAAGAUAAAUCACAUUGAUAACAUUGAAAAAUGAAAUAUUACAUAGAUAAUCGUUAACAUAAAUCGAACAUUAUAUUUGAACAUUAAGAUGGACGUUUCAACAUCUUUAUAAUAUCUUUUAUCGAUCUCGCAAUCAUCGCAUCCAACUUGAUCAAAUAUUUUGUUUCGUAACGGUUAAAUGUAUUUCAGAUAACUCUUAAAUCUGCAUUCGUCUUCAGCUUAAAAUUGUUGAAAUGAAUCUUCGAUUCAUUAUCAAUCGAGAGUGAACCGUACUUGAGUUUUGUAAGAACAAAAAUAGUUCUACAAUAGAUUCCAUGAUUUUGAUGAUAACAAAGGAUGAAACCAAAAAUGGCACCCUAACGAAAAGUUUCUAAGUGUGCAGGGUUCUAAAGAAAGAAGAAAUAAAUCUGAUGAUGUCAUCAGAUGCAAAACAAGAUCAGAUGUAAAAUCUCAAGUAUCAGAAGCAUCUAAAGAGGAAUCUCAUUCAAGAAGCUCUGACUCUGGACAAAACUACAAAGUAUCAGAAGCAUCUGAACAUGAAGUAAAGUCUAGAAGCUCUGACUCUGAACAAAUGCCUUCUGUAAAUUCUGAAGUUAUCAGCGCCAUCUGAACUUUCAAGAGAUAACAUCAGAAGCCAGUUUCUCCAGAUACACAAAGACUCUAAUCAGAAUUGUUAAUCAUGAUGAAGUAACGUUUAAGCCAAGUUAAAGUUCUGCAAAUGGAUUUCCUCAAUUAGAAAGAGACGUUAAUCUCCACUUCCAAGAGAGAAGAUACUAAUUGUGGUAAGUAGUCACUUCUAAGAGAAAAAGUCUACUGCAGAAGCUAUUAAUGGAAUGGCGUAACUACAUCUCAAUAUCCAACAGAUUCAACGCUACUUCAACUCUACUUCAACUCCUAUAAAUAGAGAAGAAAUCUCAUUCAGUAAGAAAGAAAUCACUAGCCAAAACUAUACUGAAAUUAUAUCACGCUCAAGAAAAACAUCUUUGUUCUUCAAAGAUUUUCACUAAGCUUUUGCUUAUCAAGUGAAAAAUUUGUUCUUAAGUUUGUAAUAUUUGCUUUCUUAGAAGCACUCUAGAUUACACAUCUUGUAUCUAAUUUUUAUUUGAUUUCCUCAAGUGACUCUUUGUAGUCUGUAGACUUGAGAGGACUAAGAGAUUUUCUUCUCUCUUAGGGGUUGUUUGUAAUCUUUCAAGAUUAGUGGAUUAAGUCCUUGUUGAAGGCGAAAUCACCUUGGCCGGGUGGACUGGAGUAGCUUUGUGUUAUAAGCGAACCAGUAUAAAAUCAUUGUGUGAUUUUCUUUUGCAAAAGCGCUUAUUUUUCAAACAAUUCAAACCCCCCCUUUCUUGUUUUUCUCACCUUCAAUUGGUAUCAGAGCUCCGGCUCUGUUAUUGAUUUUCAAAUCAAACACUUAACCGUGUAGAGAGAUCCAGUGCGAGAAAAACAAAUGGCCCACUCAAAUGAGAAAGAUUCUUACAAUGCCAAGCCUCCUGUUUUUGAUGGAGAAAAGUUUGAUUACUGGAAAGAUAGAAUCGAAAGUUUCUUUCUGGGUUAUGAUGCUGACCUCUGGGACAUUGUCACAGAUGGAUACAAACCUCCAACCUUAAAUGGAGCUGAAGUUCCCAGAAGCAAAAUGUCAGAAGAUCAGAAACGUGAGUUCAAAAAUCAUCACAAGGCCAGAACAAUACUUCUAAAUGCUAUAUCAUACAACGAAUACGAAAAGAUCACCAACAGAGAGACGGCUAAAGAUAUACUUGACUCUCUGAAGAUGACCCAUGAAGGAAACUCCCAAGUCAAGGAGACGAAGGCUCUGGCGUUGAUCCAGAAAUAUGAAGCCUUCAAGAUGGAAGAUGACGAAGCUAUAGAAGCUAUGUUUUCCAGAUUCCAAACUCUUAUUGCAGGUCUUAAAGUGCUAGACAAAGGAUACACGACUGCAGAUCAUGUUAAGAAGAUUGUCAGAAGUCUGCCAAAGAAAUGGAGACCUAUGGUUACUGCUCUGAAGUUAUCAAAGGAUCUGAACAGUAUCAGCCUUGAAGAACUUGUUAGUUCUCUCAGAAGCCAUGAGAUAGAACUAGAGGAGGAUGAGCCUCAGAAAAGGAACAAGUCAGUGGCGCUGAAGUCCAGACCUGAAAGACGGAAGUCAGACAGAACCAAAGCUCUCCAGGCAGAAACUGCAGAUACUGACGACUCUGAACCUGAAGACUCUGAUGAUGAAGAAGAACUGUCCUUACUAACCAGAAGAGUUAAGCAACUCUGGAAAAGAAGGAACAACAACAACUUCAGAAGAUCAAGACCCAGAGGGGAUAGAUCAGAGUCAACUUCAAAAGGUAAACCUAAUAAAGAUAUUACCUGUUUUGAAUGUAAAGAAACAGGUCAUUAUAGAAAUGAAUGCCCCAAGCUGAAGAAAGAUAACUCUAAGAAAGAAAGCUUCAAGAAAAAUGCCUUCAGAACAAAGAAGGGAUUAAUGGCCACCUGGGACGAUAGUGAAUCAGGAUCAUCAGAAUCUGACUCUGAUGAACAAGCCAACGUAGCAUUUAUGGCUACCACAUCCAGCAGCUCAGAUGAAGAAUCUGAAGAGGUAUUUUCUGAACUUUCUAGAUCUGACUUAGAAUCAUGUUUAUCAGAAACUCUUACCUCUCUUCAGAAAUUAAAACAAAAAGUUAAAAGCAUUAAAGGCCUUCUUAAAGCAAAAUCUGAAGAAUGUAGUGAACUUGAGACAACAAUUCUAGCACAUGAAGAUACAAUCAAAUCUUUAACGUUAGAAAGAGAUGGAGCUAAAACAAAAAGCUUAAAAUUAGAAGAAGCGUUGUCUCAAGCACCACAAACUUCAAAUGAAAUUAUUUAUAAAUAUGAAGAAGCCUUUCAGAAGUUUCUGAAGAGUGGAAUAGAUAGGAGUAUUAUGGCAUCCAUGAUUUAUGGAGUAAGUCAGAAUAAUAAAAGGGGAAUUGGGUAUGAUUCUGAUUCUGAUAAAACUUCUACCAGUAACCAAAUUAAAUCACCUUUUUCAUACCACUAUACACACACACAAGAACACAAAUUUAAAAAUGCUAGAAGACCCAAAGUUGUAAGAAACUCUGGGAAAACUAAUCUGAAAGGACCCAAGAGAUUCUGGGUACCGAAAGAUAAGAUUAUCUAUGUUGCAGAUAUCCUAUGCAGCAAAGUUCAGACACCAGUCAUGGUACCUGGACUCUGGAUGCUCGCGACAUAUGACGGGAAGAAAGUCUAUGUUCCAAAGCCUGGAACUUAAAGACGCUGGCUUUGUAGGCUUCGGAGGAGAUCAGAAAGGAAGGAUCAGAGGCUCCGGAACUAUUGGUAAUGGUACUCUUCCCUCUAUAUCUGAUGUUCUUUAUGUAGAAGGAUUAAUGCAUAACUUGUUAUCCAUAAGUCAAUUAAGUGAUAACGGUUAUGAUGUAAUCUUUAAUCAAAAAACGUGUAAAGCCAUUAAUCAGAACGAUGGCUCUGUCCUUUUCACAGGCAAGAGGAAAAACAACAUUUAUAAAAUAAAUCUUUCUGAUUUAAAAGAUCAAAAUGUUAAAUGUUUAAUGUCAGUUCACGAAGAGCAAUGGGUAUGGCAUAGACGCUUAGGCCACAUUAGCAUGAGAAAACUUUCUCAGCUAACUAAACUUGAGUUAGUCAGAGGCUUACCUAAACUGAAGUUUUCUUCAGAUGCUCUGUGUGAAGCUUGUCAGAAAGGAAAGUUUUCAAAAACAUCUUUUAAAAAGAAAAAUGUUGUUUCUACCUCCAAGCCUCUGGAGCUUCUUCACAUUGACUUAUUUGGUCCUGUGAAAACAGCAUCAGUCAAUGGAAAGAAGUAUGGACUAGUAAUCGUUGAUGAUUACAGCCGCUGGACAUGGGUAAAAUUCCUAAAGCACAAGAGUGAGUCUCACUCUGUAUUCACCAGUUUCUGUUCUAAAGUGCAAAAAGAAUUUGACUCUAAAAUUGUUAGAGUCAGAAGUGAUCAUGGUGGAGAAUUUGAAAAUAAAGAUUUUGAAGAAUUAUUUGAUUCUAAUGGAAUAUCCCAUGAUUUCUCCUGCCCUAGAACUCCACAACAAAAUGGAGUUGUAGAGAGGAAGAAUAGGACACUCCAAGAAAUGGCCAGAACCAUGAUCAAUGAAACAAAUGUAGCAAAGCACUUUUGGGCAGAAGCUGUAAAUACAGCGUGUUACAUUCAGAAUAGAAUCUCUAUUAGACCUAUUCUGGAUAAGACUCCCUAUGAACUGUGUAAGGGAAGAAAACCCAACAUUUCAUAUUUUCAUCCUUUUGGAUGCAUUUGCUUUAUAUUAAAUACUAAAGAACAUCUGAACAAGUUUGAUUCCAAAGCACAGAAAGGUAUUAUGUUAGGAUACUCAGAACGCUCUAAAGGCUACAGAGUAUACAACACAGAAACCAAAAUUGUGGAGGAAUCAAUUCAUGUUAGAUUUGAUGAUAAGCUUGACCCUGAAAAGUCAAAGCUAGUUGAAAAGUUUGCAGAUUUAGAGAUCACUCUGGUAGAAUCUGAGAAAACUCCAGAAGCAACUGUCACUCCAGACUCUGAAGAAAUUAAAUCUCCAGAAAUUCCAAGGAAAGUCAAGAGUCGUAGCAACGUAUCUGAAGAUUUGAUUUUGGGAAACAAAGAUGAACCUGUUAGAACCAGAUCUACCUUCAGAACUUCUGAAGAUAUUCCUCUGGGACUAGUGUCUCUGAUUGAGCCUACGUCCUGUGAUGAAGCUCUUCAAGAUAACGAUUGGGUGGCAGCUAUGCAAGAAGAGUUAGAUCAAUUCUCCAAGAAUGAUGUCUGGGAUCUCGUUCCUAAACCCAGAGGCACUCAUGUCAUUGGAACCAGAUGGGUUUUCAGAAACAAACUGAACGAGAAAGGAGAAGUUGUCAGAAACAAAGCACGACUGGUAGCUCAAGGUUAUAGUCAACAAGAAGGUAUUGAUUAUAAUGAAACUUUUGCUCCAGUCGCAAGGUUAGAAUCUAUUCGUCUUCUUGUAUCUUUUGCUAUUAAUCACUCUAUCAAAUUAUACCAAAUGGAUGUCAAGAGUGCAUUUCUUAAUGGUUAUAUUUCAGAAGAAGUGUAUGUCAAUCAACCUCCAGGUUUUGAAAAUUCAAACUUUCCAGAACAUGUUUUCAAACUUAAGAAAUCCUUAUAUGGACUUAAACAAGCUCCCAGAGCUUGGUAUGAACGCUUAAGUAAUUUUCUUCUGGAACAAAAUUUUAUCAGAGGGAAAGUUGAUUCUACACUCUUCUGUAAAAAUCAUAAAAAUGAUCUCAUGAUAUGCCAAAUUUAUGUUGAUGACAUUAUUUUUGGUUCUGCUAAUAUCUCUGUUUGCCAAGAAUUUUCUAAGUUAAUGCAGGCAGAAUUUGAAAUGAGUCUAAUGCAAGAACUAAAGUUCUUUCUGGGAAUUCAAAUUAAUCAAACUCCAGAAGUCACGUACAUUCAUCAAAGCAAGUACAUUAAAGACGUUCUGAAGAAGUUUGAUAUGUCUGAAUGCAACUCUGCAAAGACUCCUAUGCACCCAACUUGCAUUCUGGAAAAGGAAGAGGUAAGCAACAAGGUUUGUCAGAAGCUCUAUCGAGGUAUGAUAGGCUCUCUUCUCUAUCUGACUGCUACUCGUCCUGAUAUUCUCUUUAGCGUCUGUCUUUGUGCCAGAUUCCAAUCAGAUCCUAGAGAAUCUCAUUUAACAGCUGUUAAGAGAAUUCUUAAGUAUCUGAAAGGAACUCCUAACCUGGGCCUGAUGUAUGAGAAAACAUCAGAGUAUAGGCUUUCUGGUUAUUGUGAUGCAGAUUAUGCAGGAGAUAGAAUAGAACGAAAAAGCACAUCUGGAAAUUGCCAGCUUCUGGGAAACAAUCUAAUCUCCUGGGCUAGCAAAAGACAGUCAACUAUCGCUCUAUCAACUGCAGAAGCAGAAUAUAUCUCAGCAUCACUGUGCACAACUCAGAUGCUCUGGAUGAAACAUCAGCUAGAAGAUCUUCAAAUCUUUGAGAGUAACAUUCCUAUCCUUUGUGAUAAUACUGCUGCUAUUUGUUUGAGUAAGAAUCCUAUUUUACAUUCCAGAGCCAAACACAUAGAAAUUAAACAUCAUUUUAUUAGAGACUAUGUUCAGAAAGGAAUAGUAACGCUGAAGUUCAUUGAUACAGAACAUCAAUGGGCAGAUAUCUUUACUAAGCCUCUAGCUGAAGAUAGAUUUCUUUUCAUCUUAGAAAAUCUGAACAUUAAAAAUUGUCCUGAGUAAAAUUUGGCUCUGAACAUGUAAAAUGAGACUCUGAUAAAAACAAAUACACUUCUGCCUCUGACUCUGAUACUUCUACCAAGUUAAGAAGAUAUCUGAGUUAGAAAUCUUCAGAAAUCCUUUGGUAUUCCUGAAGAUCAGAUACAUCAACACGUGGGGAACAUGCGUCUAACCCUAGAACUUCUAGACAGCUGUCAAAAGAAAUCAAAGGUCAGAACGCUUGAAAUCUCCUCGAGCAGUGUGCUUACUGUUGGGAUUAGACAUUCAUUAAUUAGCUAUAAUCAUUUUUCCCCCAAACGUGCUAUUUUGGUUUUUGUGCUAACGCUGGUAUGUGUGUCGUUUUGCAUGUGUUUUUACCCUUAGUAUAUAAACACUUUCUCUCACUUUUCACACUUAUCACUCUCACUCACUCUAAAACCCUAAACCCUUCUCUGAAAGUUCUCUGCAAGUUCUUCAUCUUCUUCAAUCUCCAUCAUCUUCAUCAACAUGGACGCUCAACAACAAGAACUCUUCAACCAUUCUCAACAAGUGGAAUCUAGUUCCAAUCCCCAAACCUCAAACACUCAAACACCCACGGUUAUAAGCGUCACCACAACCCCAGUUUACAAAGAACCUCACAUUCUUGACCGUGAACAACACAUUCAUCUUUCAACUCCCUUUGAAGGUUUGGAUGUACUGUGUGAAUCGCUGGUGGAUUUUGAGAAUUUGAGAAGAAAUGGCGUUGAUUUAACUGAAGAUCUUCGCAAGCAAGGUUGGGAAACCUACUUCAACAGAUUGUAUGGUCCAAUCUAUCCUCUUCUGGUGAAAGAAUUCUGGAGAUGUGCAGAUGCUGAUGAUGAGUUCAUUGUUUCUUUUGUUCUGGGAGUGAAGAUCAUCAUCACAGAAGCAUCUAUUGCCUCUUUGCUGAACAUGGAGAGAACUGGAGGUAAAAGGAUUUACAACAUUCCUCCAAGGUCCAAGCGCAUCACAGAAGUCAUUAACCCUACAAUCUUCAAAGCAAAUGUUGAAGGAAACCCAUCUAAGAACAAGGAGCUUCAUCAGAACCUCCGAGUUUGGCUGAAGAUUAUUCUGGGAACAAUCCAUCAUCGUCCAGCCUCCAACUCUUCAGAUUAUAUAAAUGCUGAUCAGAAAUGCAUCCUCUACUGUAUUCAGAAGGGUAUUCCAAUCAACCUCCCUGUUCUCCUCUUCAGAUAUCUGAGGGAUUCAGUCAGAGAAACAAGGAAUAAUAUGAAGCCCAGAUCCUACAUUCCUCUGGGAAGAUUGCUCUCUGACAUCUUCAUUGAGCAUGGGCUGGUAGAUGCUCUGGAGAAGACCAGAUGUAUGGAUGAUCUGGCAAUUGACGUUGGAAAGCCUCUGAAUGCCAAAAAUCUGAGGAGUAUGGGAAUCAUCAAAGACAUCAGAGUCAAGCCCACUAUGAAUGUAACCUGGGAAGCUCUGAAGGAUCAGAGGAAGAUGCCUCAUGGCCUUGAAAGGUUCUUCAAGAAUGAACCCAGAGAUGCCAUUGCUAUCUACCUUCAGGAUCGUCUGGAUGAAGGCAUUGAUAUCUCUGAUUUCCGCCUUGAAGACUGUCUGGACUCUGUAGAAGAUCUGGUCAGAUACAAAAGAGGUCUUUCUGAGAAGAAGAUAGCUGAGGAAGCAAGGAAGGCAAAGAAAGCCAGACUUGGAGAAACCUCUGGCACCAAAGCUUCAGCACCUCUGAAUGUCUCCUCUGGUAAGUCCAUUCCUCCUGUCUCUUCUGAAUCUGUAAUGGCUUCCUCUAACCCUCUCUCCUCUCAACCAAUAUAUACCACCGCUGAAAUACCACCUUCAACCAUCAGAACCUCUCAACCUCCACCUGUUCUAAAAAUUGCUCGUAAUUUCACAACAACCUCUGACCCUAAUCAACUAUAUCACCACAGCUCUUCCUCAUCCUCUGAAUAUGAAUCACCCCCUUACCUUUCCCCUUCUUCUGACCAAGAGUUCUCUGAACAAGAGUCCUCUGACCAAGAACACUCUGACCCAAACUCCCCAACAAUAGCUGAAAUUUAUGCUAAAAAUUUCGCUCCACAACCCUCAAGACAAUCUGAAGUAACCUCUCCCCUCCAAACUUCACUUCCACCACAACAAACAACAACCUUACCCUCUGAAACUCAACCAUCUGAUCCCUUCACCUCUAAUAUCACUCCACCAUUUAUUCCCGCUGUACCUGGACCAGACUCUGACCCUUUAGACCUAAAUCCACUAUAUGCUUCAUCCCCUAGUCUUCAACCAGACGCAGAUUCUGAACUUCAAGCAGAAUCUGAACCUCAACAAACUGAACCUCAACCUCUAAAUCUCAGCCCUCAAAACUCUCCACCUCAUUCACCUGAACCUGAACCUGAACUUACCAUACCUACCCUUGAGGAGGCCAUUAUACAGGUUGCAGAAGCUUCAGUCCAGAAGAUCAAGUCUCUGGCUAAAAACUCUGAAGUUAGUGAUGAUCCUAAAUCUGUUAGGACACACUGGAACAGAGUCAUUAGUUGGAUGACCUCUGAGUCUUAUAGGCUGAAGAGUAUCUCUGAACAAGUCAGAAAUGGCUACAUCAGAGACUCUGAGGAAAGACUCCAAGAGAGACUGGCUAGAGAAGCUGAGGCCAGAAGGUUAGAGGAAGAGAGACUGGCUAGAGAAGCUGAGGCCAAGAGAUUAGAGGAAGAAAGAUUGGCUAGGGAAGCUGAAGAAGAAGCUAAGAGGUUGGAAGAAGAACGCCUGGCAAAGGAAGCAGAACUUCUAAGGAUUCAGGAAGCUGAAGCCAAGGCUAAGGCAGAUGCAGAAGCCCAAGCUGCUGCUGAAGCUGAAGCUCAGCAGGCUCUGAUUCAGGGGGAGUCUUCCUCUGCGAUCCCUCUGAUUCUUAACACUCUGAAGGAGAUCAAGCAAGAUCAGAAAGAGAUCAAGCAAGAUCAGAGUGAGCUCCGGGCAAGGAUGGACAAGCAAGACGCUCUGAAUGAAAACCUCCAGAAUAUGUUUGCUAUGCUACUACAGAGACUUCCUCCUCCUCCAAACCCUUAGGCACUUAGGAUUUCUUUUGUUUGCCUAGUGUUUUUGCUUCUGUCUUUUCUUUUUUUUCUCUGAUAUUUCUGUUGAAUCUGAUGUUUUGACUGCUGCUUGCCUUUGUGCUUUUGUUUAAUGAAGUGUUUUUCUCUCUAUUAUUUUUUUUAUGUUUUAUGCCUUUUUGAUUAUGCCAAAAAGGGGGAGAAAUUAUUAAAUAGCUCUGAUGAAAAUUAUGUCUAAAACCUUAAGCAUUCUGCAACAAUUAUAGAAAUAGUUCUGAUAUAAAUAGCUCUGAUUAAAUAAUAGCUCUGAUUAAAUAACUCUAACAUUAAAAUUAAGAAAUUGCAGAAAGUUUUCAGAAAUCUCAUUGCUUGGAAAGCUCUGGUAAGAACUUCUGAACUCCCUAGUACUAACUCAGGGGGAGCUUUUGUCUAUCUGAUCUAAUAUUUUUCAUGUUUCAUCUGAUAAUUUUAUUUGUUUUGUCAUCAUCAAAAAGGGGGAGAUUGUAAGAACAAAAAUUGUUCUACAACAGAUUCCAUGAUUUUGAUGAUAACAAAGGAUGAAACCAAAAAUGGCACCCUAACGAAAAGUUUCUAAGUGUGCAGGGUUCUAAAGAAAGAAGAAAUAAAUCUGAUGAUGUCAUCAGAUGCAAAACAAGAUCAGAUGCAAAAUCUCAAGUAUCAGAAGCAUCUAAAGAGGAAUCUCGUUUCAAGAAGCUCUGACUCUGGACAAAACUACAAAGUAUCAGAAGCAUCUGAACAUGAAGUAAAGUCUAGAAGCUCUGACUCUGAACAAAUGCCUUCUGUAAAUUCUGAAGUUAUCAGCGCCAUCUGAACUUUCAAGAGAUAACAUCAGAAGCCAGUUUCUCCAGAUACACAAAGACUCUAAUCAGAAUUGUUAAUCAUGAUGAAGUAACGUUUAAGCCAAGUUAAAGUUCUGCAAAUGGAUUUCCUCAAUUAGAAAGAGACGUUAAUCUCCACUUCCAAGAGAGAAGAUACUAAUUGUGGUAAGUAGUCACUUCUAAGAGAAAAAGUCUACUGCAGAAGCUAUUAAUGGAAUGGCGUAACUACAUCUCAAUAUCCAACAGAUUCAACGCUACUUCAACUCUACUUCAACUCCUAUAAAUAGAGAAGAAAUCUCAUUCAGUAAACACGAAGAAAUCACUAGCCAAAACUAUACUGAAAUCAUAUCACGCUCAAGAAAAACAUCUUUGUUCUUCAAAGAUUUUCACUAAGCUUUUGCUUAUCAAGUGAAAAAUUUGUUCUUAAGUUUGUAAUAUUUGCUUUCUUAGAAGCACUCUAGAUUACACAUCUUGUAUCUAAUUUUUAUUUGAUUUCCUCAAGUGACUCUUUGUAGUCUGUAGACUUGAGAGGACUAAGAGAUUUUCUUCUCUCUUAGGGGUUGUUUGUAAUCUUUCAAGAUUAGUGGAUUAAGUCCUUGUUGAAGGCGAAAUCACCUUGGCCGGGUGGACUGGAGUAGCUUUGUGUUAUAAGCGAACCAGUAUAAAAUCUUUGUGUGAUUUCAUUUUGCAAAAGCGCUUAUUUUUCAAACAAUUCAAACCCCCCUUUCUUGUUUUUCUCACCUUCAAGUUUCACAAUUCUUUGAUGAACUAAAAUGCAAUUGAGGACUCCGCGUCUUUGAGUCAUAAAUCAUGGAGACUCAUAAUGCGUCCAAAAAUGCAUAUCCAAAAUUUAAGUGGCAUUUUCAAAUUUUUAUAGGAUGGUUUUCCAACACUUAUGUAGAGAUAAACAAUUUCGUAAUUAAAGGUCUCUAAGAGGAGUUGAAAUAAAUAUAUUUAAAAAAUUAGUAACAUAAUUAUUUAAGGAAUAAAGUUUUCUAACCAAAAGAAUUUUUCCCUAAUUUUUUUGUGCCUAAUUUAUUUUGCUAACAAAGUAAAGCCCUGAUUAUUGUUACUAAAUUUUAGUAAUUUUCAUUCAUCUCUCAAUUAAUAUCUCUUAUAAUCCUCAUUAACUCUCAAUUAAUGUAAUUCAUAUCUAUCAAAAAAAAUUGAAAAUUUUGUAUCUAGGCUUGGGACCAACUAGUUUAGUGAAUUGCUAAUUUCAUCUUAAGUGUUGGAAAUAUGCCCUAUAAAAUUUUGAAAAUACCCUUUUGAAUCCGAAAAUGCAUCUUCGAACGCACCUUACGCCUCACUAAAACACACCUCAACUUGUUGAUGUUUUUUAUGUAAUUCAAGUGAUGUAACCAGUUAUCUCGGGUAGGUAACCGGUUACAUAAAUGUCUAAAGUUCAAUCAAGUAGCAAAAAUGUGGAGUUUUUGAAGGUGUAACCGGUUAACCAUUUUGGUGUAAACGGUUACCACAAAAGCUGAUUUAAUUCAAUGUCAGGUGUAACCGAUUAUCCAUUUUUGUGUAACAUUACAAGCGUAAUAUUUUGAUUUUUCCUGCUAUUUUACUUGGUCAAUUCAGUUCCCAAUUGUGUUGUAUCUCUUGUAUAAGUGUUUAGAAUGCACACUCAUCUAAGGUUAAUGCAAUAAUAAUCUCUCCCCCUUAAUUCUCCUCUUUCACACUCCACAUCCAAAGUAUCUCCAUCAUUGUUCACCAAACUUGUGGUCUCUUGUUCCAAAAUUUGACAUCAAGAGUCUGGUUCAGAUCCACAAACACCUAGUGUGCAACAUGAAUUAUGUUUCCAAUGAAAGAAUUCCUGCAAACCUACCUAUCUUUGAUGCGAAGAAUUAGGAUAAACGGUGCAAGGAAAUGAAGAUGUUGUUUGGAUACCAAGAUGUUCUUAAAGUAAUCAAUAAGGAUGUUACUCCUCUUAUUCAAAAUGAAACAGAGGCGCAACAAGCAACACAUAAGGAAGAGAAGAAGAAAUAGUUCAAUGUGUUGAUGGCGAUGAUUUUAAGAAAGUUGAUGAUUGUGAAUCGUCAAAGUAAGCGUGAGAGAUCUUAGAGAAGGCAUGUGCAUGGGUUGACAAGGAAAAGGUGGUGAGGUUACAAACUCAUAAACGUCAGUUUGAAUUGAUUCAAAUGGAGGAAAAGGAGAUAAUCAAUGAUUUUGCAAUGAGAAUCACUCGGUUGGUGAAUCAAGUGAAGGCAUGCAAAGAAACUGUUACGGAGUUGUAUGUUGCUGCUAAAAUCUUGUGUUCUUUAACACCAAGAUUUAACAGUAUAGUUGUGGCAAUUGAUGAGUCAAAGGAUCCCGCGACGAUGAGCAAAGAGGAGUUGCAAAGUUCUCUUGAGGCUCAUGAGAAAAAGAUGGAAAAGAGGAAUAACGAUAAGGCAAAGGCGGAGAUUGCUUUGCAAGCUCGUUUCAAUGAGAAGGACAAGAGAUCGAAAGGAAAAUGGCCCAAGAAAAGAAAAGGGAAUUUUCAUAAUUUGGGUGGAAGAGAGUCCUAAAAUUCAAAUGAUUUGACUUGUCAAAGGGGUGAGAGCAGCUACAAUAAACAUGGUGGUCAAGGAAACUUUAGAGGUAGAAGGAAGAAGUUUGAUAAGAGCAAGGAGAUGUGCUAUAAGUGUCAAUGGUUCGUUCAUUUUGCAAAAAAAUACAAUGUGAACAAGAAAGAAUCUCAAGGGAUUAAACCAAGGUUGCAAGAUAAGAGUUUGAUGAAGAGAAUAUAAUUUUGGUCAUGAUCAAAGAAGGGAAUUAUAGCAGCAAACAACUGUGGGACAACAGCGGCAAUAAAUCAAAGAAUGCUAAAAAGGUCGGUUGAAUGAUACGAUUAACCGAUCGCAUGAAGAGGAAGAUACCAUGAUGAGUUUGAAAGGAGUUCAAUGUAGUGAUGAGUGGUAUUUGGACUUGGGUUGUUCAGCUCAUAUGACAGGAAUAAAGGAUUGGUGUGUCAAAAUCAAUCGUGCCAUGAAGAAUAAACUAAAGUUUGCAGAUGAAACCACCCUAAUGAUCGAUGGGAUCGAUGAUGUUUUGAUCAUGAGAAGGGAUAAUGGACAUUACUUAAUCACAAAUUCUUGUACAUUUUUGGAAUCAAAUUUAACCUUCUAAGUAUUGGCCAAUUGCUUGAGAAGGAUUCCAAGAUUCACAUGGAAGACAAUGGGUUGUGCGUUAUGGAUAUAAGAGGAGGCUUGGUCCUUAAAGCGCAUAUGGCUGCCAAUAGAACCUUUAAGGUUGAGUUGAAGGUUAUAGAGUAUAAAUGUCUUGCUACUACAUCAAGUAGACAACAGUGGAUAUGGCACUAUCGUCUUAGACAUCUCAAUUUUAGAGAUCUCAAAGACUUUCAAAAGAACAUAAUGGUAACAGGGCUGCCAUUGAUCAACAUACUAGCUGAAAUUUGUGAAGAAUGUGUGCAAGUGAAGCAACAUAAGGGAAAAUUGAGCAAGUAGACUCUAUUGGUGGAAAUAUGUAUUUUGUCACAUUUAUCGAUGAUCAUAGUACAAAACUAUGGACAUACCUAAUCAAGAUAGAUGACAAUGUAUUUCAUGAUCGUCCGUCAUUGCAUAUAUUUAGUCGAAGAAUCAGACAAAACAAGUGAAAGUUAAGAUAAAAUGAAGAAGAAUAAGGAAAAAAUAUCUAAGCAUGGAAACUGGGGACUUAUUGAAAUUUUGAGUAAAAAAGGGAGCAAAAGUGUGCAACCACUGGAAUAAUCAUGCGCACCAUCACGUAGCAUCGUGCACACAAUGGGGUCUUUAAAGUUGCAUCGCGCAUGCGAUACAAGGAAUCACGCGCGUGAUAAAUACUUUUUAUGGGCUUUUCAGACGCGUUCUGGUCCAUUCUAACGCCUUUAAAAGGGGAUUUUCUGAACUUUCACAAGAGUUACAAAAUUGGGAGAUCUAGGCACUACUUUGAGAGCACAAGUGGUGAUUUUUAUAACAUUAGAAGUUAUUGGAGACCAUUACUUCAACGUAUUUCACAUGUUAUUUUCAUCUAUCAAUUAUGAUAUUUUUAAUUGCAUUAUGAGUAGCUAAGCUCCUCUAGAUUAGGUUGUAUACUGAUGAACCUAUUUCUAUAUUGUUGGAAUCUAUGUUGAUUUAACAAUUGUGUGAACCUUUUGAACUAUAAUUCCAUUCAAUUGCUUCUUGUUCAUAAUGCUUUUUAUGUGAGAUGAUAUUUUAAUAUGAUUUUGGGAACAUAAGGAAUACUGACCAUUAGUCUAUGUGUUGGACCUAGGGAAAUUGUUGUACUUACGCUGGUUGAAUAGGAAUAGGAGACCCUGAGUAGUGGCGUAGAGAAUUAACGCUUUAUACAUCGCCUAACCCUGCUUACGCUGGAGGACUAAGGAUAAAAAGCUCUGAGUGGUGGUUAGUGAGUUAUUUCAUGAGGGAUCAACUAUAACAGUUUUGUUAAUUCGUCGUGGUGUUAUAGUGAUAAGACCAUUCGUACAAGACAUCAAACAUCAACAAUAGAGGAAUAUGAGAUUUUAAAACACAACUUGGCCGCUUUCGUGAUAUUGUUUAAUUGUUUAUUUACUUUUUGCACAGAAACUCAACCCCCCCCCCCCCNNNNNNNNNNNNNNNNNCCCCCCCCCCCCUUUACUAGUUUUUUAUAAAUUGCACACAUUUUGUCUUGCUUGAACGAAGUUCACGUGGAUUCGAUCUUUUUAUUACUUCGACGAUGUCAAUACACUUGUCGAGAAGUCAUCAAGUUUUUGGCGCUUUUGCCAGGGACUAUUAAUUUUUCAUCAAGGCGAUGUUUGUGCAAUUUUUUUUAGUCUUUAAAUUUUAUGUUUUAUUUUCUUGUUUCUCAAAAUGCUAUUGAGGUAUUUUCUAUUUGUGUAUGUACCGUUCAGGAUCAACAUUAAUACCAUUGGAUCCAAAAAUUGAAAGAAACGCACAUGCUCUCAGAAAAGCUGUUAGAGGAGCAACUCUGGAAAGAGGAAUACUAGAAGAAGAGUAAUUAUCAAGUUAGUCAUACUCUGAAGAUGAAGCUGUAAUGGCAGAUGCACAACCCCUAACUAUGGGGGAUUAUUAUAAAUGAACCGAUGAAGGACACUUCUCCAGAGGGUUUGUACCGGUAGACCCUUCUAACUUUGAUAUUAAAAAUUAUGUGCUUUAAGGUUUGAGAGAAAAUUUGUUCGGCAGGAACACGAUUAGAGACCUAUGGGUGCAUCUUACACACUUCUAUGAAACAACUUCAAUGUGAAAAUCAAUUGAUGCCACUGAAGACCAGGUUAAAUUGAGGUUGUUUGGGUUCUCACUAAUUGGAAGGGCGAAGAUUGGUUACUUUUCCUCCCGAAUGGAACGAUACGAACAUGAAAGGAAUUAGAGGAUAAAUCCCUGGAAAGAUUUUUCACUACUACUCAGUUUACCGAGCGCUAAGCAGAAAUUGUGAGGUUUGAGCAGUAGGAAAUUGAGUCACUUUAUGACUCUUGGGAAAGAUUCAAACUUUUGUUACGCAGAUGCUCGAAUCACAACAUGAAUAAUAUAGAGCAGAUGCAAAACUUCAUUAAAGGUCUCAAAGUCAAACUCACGUAUUUUUGGAUGCUUCUACGAGAGGUACUAUCUGAAAAAUGAAUGAACCAUGGGUAAAAGAUAUCAUUGAGAAAAUGUGUAUAAUUGAGUACCGAUCCAAGAACGAAAGGUCGAUCAAGAUGGGAACUGUGGGCACGCCUAAAGGUAUGUUACCUAUUGAUACCCACAUUGCUCUUUUAGCUCAGAUUGAAUUAUUAAAUAAAAAGCAAGCUGGAAGAAGCUUAGUUAAAGCUAACGUAAGUCAGGUACAAGCACUUAAAAGCGAUUUAUAUGGAGGAUAACAUGCGAAUGGAAGUUGUUCAUUGGAAGGGACAAGUGAGGAGGUAAAAUUUUAUAAUUUUUAAAAAAAAUAACUUGUAUUCAAACACAUAUAAUCCGGGUUAAAAAGACCACCCAAAAUUCCUUUGGAAUAAUAAUCAAAAUUCAAAUGCUAACUAAGGGAUGCAACAAAGCCAACAAGCUCUGUUUCAAAGAAAUCCAUCACAAAUGGUAGAGACCUUGAAAAUUUUCAUUAAGGUCACUCAAAGUAGCUUUGCUAGGGUAAAUAAGACCCUUGAAGAAAUGAGUAGAAACUAGGAUGCGUCUAUCAAAAUUUUGGAGAUGAAGAUUGGUCAAUUAUCCAGACAAGUAGCUACUUUUCCAAGCUCAAGUGGAGGAUUCACCAGUAACAUUGUUGAUAACCCUAAGAAUGAUAACCCUAAAUAUAGGUUUAGGGGAAAUUACUGAAAAGGAUAAGGAGGAGAUAGUUAAAGAACGUGUGGUUAAGAUAGAUGAGGGUACAAAUCAAGGUGACCAAGAGGAAAGAGGAGACAUCAUUGAUCAACUUAUUGACAAAAAUUCUCCUCGGGGGAGAACAAAGAAGCAGAUCAUGACUGAACCAAAUCCUCCUUUACCAGAUCACGUAAAACCACCGUACCCAAUAAUUAAAAAGAAAGUGGUUUAAGAUGAUGAAGCGAGAAUGUUUGCAAAGUUCAAGGAAAUUCUAGCUACUCUCCGGGAAAGUAUUUCGUUCCAUGAAAUUUUAGAACUAAUGCCUAAGUUUGCUAAAUUUAUGAAGGCGUUACUAAAUGGGACGGAAGAGAAAAGGAUCAAGGAACAUGUAAACAUGACCGAAAAGAAUGAUAUGGUAAAACCUCAAUCCUUACAACCUAAACUAAAAGACUCAAGUAAAUUUAUGAAGGAGUUAUUAAAUGGGACGAAAGAGAAAAGGAUCAAGGAACAUGUAAACAUGACCGAAAAUGAUGAUAUAGUAAAACCUCAAUCCCUACAACCUAAACUAAAAGAAUUAGGUAAGUUUACUAUUUCCUAUAAUAUUAGUGGAUUCAAUAUUCUGCAUGCUCUAUGUGAUAUGGGAUCUAACAUAAAUGUCAUGCCACCGAAAACUGUCAAAGAAUUAAAAGUGGGUGAGAUCACACCGAGUAACAUGACUCUCAGUCUAGUUGAAUUGUCUAUUACUCAUUCAAUUGGUACUUUACGCGACAUAUUAGUACCUAUCGACGACUUAUUGUUUCCUAUAGAUUUUAUAGUGCAUGAUACAAAAGAAGAUUCGGGAGGAUCUAUUAUUCUUGGACAUCCAUUCUUGGCAAUCGGGAAAGCAAAAGAUUGAUGUGUAAACUGGUCAACUUAUCUUGAAGUCAAAUAAAAGGAAUGUGGUUUUCAAGGUAUAUGACUGGACACCUUAUGUGGAUAAUUUGGAUACUUUCUACUAUCUGGAUGAAAAAGGUAGGAAAGUAGAUAAAGGAACAAUGAGAAAGAAAGUGACAGGCGUGAGGGUGUCCCUUGCGCCUGACGUACCUUAGACAUGGAUUAUCAAGCUAGUGAUGUUAAAAAAGUGUUUGAUGGGAGGCAACUCAUCAAUAAGAAUUUAUUUUUUUAUCAUAGUGAAUAUUAAUUUUUCUAACCUUGUUAAUUUUUGUGCUAUGUUAUUGGAAGAGAAAAUAGGUGAAAGAAGAAAAGAAAGAAAAAGCAAAAGGGAAGAAAAUAGAAAAAGAAAAGAGAGAGGAAAGUUUCAUCCCCCAGAAUCAUCACGUAUGAUAAUAUAAACUAGUUCUUUACAAUAAUAAAAUUUGAUAUUUAUUUAUACAAACACAAUUAUAUAAAGAGAAUAACACACAAAUCACACAUGAUAAUUUUAGAAUAAUUAUACUCUAAUAUUUUUUGAGUCGUGAUAUAUCCUCUUCUUAAAUAUUUGAAAGUUGAAUCUCUCUCACUAAUCUCUAUUCCCCUAUUUAUUUUAAGAAUAAACAUAUUGAAUUAAUAAAACAUAAUUGCACCUUUCUUAAAGGUUAUACAAACAACUACUAAAGUUGAAAAAACUAAAGAGAGGUCAACUCAAUCUUUAUCAAAUUAAAUUAAAGUUUAUUAUAAAACACAAACAACUAGUUCAUUCAAAUGAUAACUUGUUUAGUACACAAGUAAGAUCUUACUUAAUACAUAGAAAUAAGAUCUUACAGAAUAUAGAGAUUAAAAACAUAGGAAUAACAUGAAAAGCUUUUAAAAUGACAUAGACAUUGAUUAACAAAGAUAUGAACUAGUUUCGGGUAUUUCUUAACCAUCCGUCAAGGUAAACUUGUUUGGAGUCAGGGGUGGAUUUUGCUUUCUCGACUCGGAUAUCUUUCAACCAUCCAUCAAGGUAAACCUGGUUGUUGUCAGAGGUGGAUUUUACUGUCUCGGCUCGGAUAUCUUUCAACCAUCCAUCAAGGUAAACUUGUUUUGGAUCAGAGGUGGAUUUUGUUUUCUCUGCUCGGGUAUCUUUCAACCACCCAUCAAGGUAUACUUGGUUGGAGUCAGGGGUAGAUUUUAUUCUCUCGUUUCGAUAAUCUUUCAACCAUCCAUCAAGGUAAACUUGGUUGGAGUCAGACAUGGUUUCUGUUUGCUUUGCUCGAGUAUUUUUCAACCAUCCAUCAAGGUAAACUUGGUUGGAGUCAGAGGUAGAUUUUUCUUUCUCAGCUCGGGUAUCUUUUAACCAUCCAUCAAGGUAAACUUGUUUGGAGUCAAGAUUUUUCUUUCUCAGCUCGGGUAUCUUUUAACCAUCCAUCAAGGUAAACUUGUUUGGAGUCAGAGGUGGAUUUUGUUUUCUCUGCUCGGGUAUCUUUCAACCAUCCAUCAAGGUAAACUUGAUUGGUGUUAGGCAUGGACUUUUCUUUCUCAACUCUGAUAUUUUUCAACCAUCCAUCAAGAUAAACUUGGUUGGAGUCACUUGUAGAUUUUGUUUUCUCAACUCGGGUAUCUUUCAACCAUUCAUCAAGGUAAACUUGGUUGGAUUCAGAGGUGGAUUUUGCAUUCUCUGCUCUGGUAUCUUUCAACCAUCCAUCAAGGUAAACUUGGUUGGAGUUAGGUGUUGACUUUUCUUUCUCAACUCUGCUAUCUUUCAACCAUCCAUCAAGAUAAACUUGGUUGGUGUCACCUGUAGAUUUUGCUUUCUCAGCUCGAUUAUCUUUCAACCAUCCAUCAAGGUAAACUUGGUUGGAUUCAGAGGUGUCUUUUGCUUUCUUUGCUCUGGAAUCUUUCAACCAUCCAUCAAGAUAAACUUGAUCGGAGUUCUGGGAGGAUUUGGUUUUCUCUGAUCGUGUAUCUUUCAACCAUCCAUCAAGAUAAACUUGGUUAGAGUUAGCAAUGUGUUUUCGACUCUUCAAUGGAUUUUUGAGCCAACCAUCAAGGUAAGGUUGAUCAGCUUGUAUUUCUUGUACAUUCUCUUGCUGAAGUUUGAUAUAUCGGGCAAAGCUUCCUUGUCCAUUCUAUAAUACAAUUGAAUAAAUGGAUAUUAGUGAGUUAUUUUUGGAUGGUAUAUAUGAUUACAAAAACAAAAUUAUGUGUUUUAUGAGACACAUUAUGUUACAUAAAUAAGACACAUUCAUUGUAUAUUUCAGAUGGAUAUAGAAUGCGAAAUAAAAAUCAAAGAAAAACAAUUUUUUAAAUUUCAUUGCCGCAUAGAAAAUAUUAUUUUGUCAAAUUAAAUAGAACAACUUGAUUAAGUGAAUGAUGAAAUCAAAUCAAAUAAAGAUGCAAAAUGAUAGAUUGUGAUAAAUAAAUGAUGAAAAAUAUAUGUGUAAAAGAUACAAGAAUGGAUGCAUAACUUACAAUCAAUAAGAGCAUGAUAAAAGGGAGGAGAGACAAAACAUCUUUGUUUGUCAUUUCUUUAAUGUUAUGAUUUUGUGGGAAAAUUGUUUUAAUGUAAAAAGAUGUAUUGAAAUGGAAGUGAAUUGUGCUAUUUAUAAGUGAAUGAAAAGAAAAACUACAUUAAGGACAUUGAGACUUUGGUUGGCAAGAUUAUUUUUUUAAAUAUUUAGUUUAAAUUAUUUUUUAAAUGUUUAGUUUAAUUGAUAAGUUUAUAUGUCUAAGAAAGAUCAAUUUACUAAGAUUUAUUAUUUACAAGAUCUAUUAGGUGUGUUGUUUUGAGUUAUAAAAAAUAUUAAAAAAAUUGUUUGUUUGAUAUAUUUUUUUAAUUAGAAGCUCCUAACUAAAUCCUCUUAGUUUAAAAUAAAUAAAUUUUAGAACUGCUACUGCAAUUAUUUUUAUUUUAAAAUUAAAAAUGAUUUUCUAAAAAUCCUUAAUAAAAACAUAUUAAAAUGACAAAGGUGAUUUUGUUAAAUGUUAAACAAACAUUUAUUUUGAUAAGUUAUUUCAAAUAACUUAAAAUUUCAUAAAUUUAUUUUAAUUUAUAAUUAAAGUGGUAAUUAUGAUAAUCUCGCCUCUUGAGUUCUAAUAUUUGAGCUAAUAGUAUAAAUAUGUUUUAGUUGAAUUAGAAUUUGCAUUAGUGAUAGUUUCAAUUUUACAAUUAAUUAGACUAAAAUAUUGAUGUUCGUCAUAUAUAUAUAUAUAUAUAUNUAUAUAUAUAUAUAUAUAUUAAAUAGUAAUUAUAUAUUAUAAAUUUUAAUUUUGGGAAAAAAAUAUUAUUUCAAUAUUUUAAAAUUUUAAUAAUUAUUGUUUUAUAAAAUUAAUUAUAAUGAGUAUAAUAUUUUAAUUUUAUUAUCAUCAAAUAUACCCUACAUCAAAAUUCACAAACUUUAAAUAUAAAUAUCGGGAUCCACUUAAUUGAAUUGGAAUUUAAACAUCAAAAUUUAGACAAAUGUUAAAUUUUGAAGCACUUGGUUUUUGAAUCAUGACUCUUCUACAACCAACUCCUAGGGACUUACUACAUAGCCAACAAUGAAUCCAAAAUAGUUUCACAAGAAACACUAAAAUACUGUGUUGGCCUUUGCAUGUUUAAGAUGUUCACAUGUAGCUGGGGUUUGCGUGCUUAUGAGCUUACCUAAUAGUAAGUUAAAAAAACAAUAUAUUAUUAUACUGACCAGUCUAAAGAGAAAUAGAUAAGUUACUGUAUUUGUUAUUAUAAUCAAAUAUUAUCUAAAAAAGAAAUAAAUUAUAAGGAAUAUGUUUUCAUUAUUUUUAUCUUUAUUUAAAGAAUAUAAAUAUUUUUUAAUUAAUGAUAAAUAAUUGAUUUUAAAUGUGAUUACGGUUUAUAUCUUUAUCUAAGAAAAUAAAUGAUAAAAUGUGAAUACUCAUAUCUAAAAUUAAAUAUUUAUCCAAUUAUGUAGGCCAGCCUCAUAUUUAUUGUAAAAAUUUUAACAAAGUUUAAAAUAAUGAAAAUUAGAAUAAUGGUAUUCCUACAUUAAAUCUUACAUCAAAUACUUACAUUAAAUAUUUUUUACCGUAUUUAAACGAUGAAUAAUAUUUUUAUUUUUAAUAAAAAAAUAUUUAUAUAAAAAUGUUUUUAUUUUUAAAAUUAUUUUUAUAAUAAAAAUAUAAAAUUUAUCACAAAAUAAUUUUAUUAUCGUAUUAACUAUAAAAAUAUAGGUUAUAAAUCACAUAUUUCACUUAUAAUUCAUUAACCAGUAAAAUACAUAAUAUUAAUCAAAUUAUGAUAUUAAAAUAUGAAAUAUAUAAUUUGCUUAAUUAUUAUAUUUUAUAUUUUAAUGUCACAAUUUAUUUAUAUUAUUUAUUUUAUUAAUUGAAUAUAAUAAUAAGUAAAAUAUAUGGUUAAUCAUCUAUAUUUUUAUGAUUAAUACAAUAAUAAAAUUGAUUAGUGACAAAUUUUAUAUUUAUAUUACAAAAAUAAUUAUAAAAAUAUAUCAAAAACGAGUUUAAGACAACGUAGGAAAAAGUGAAGUGACACUCAAAUAUUAUUUGCUCAUUAAGCAAUCAGUUAAAAUUAAAGUGAAUUAACGAAUUAAGCAUAAAGUUUCACACAAUCAAAAUUAGGGAACAAUAAAUCAAUCGAACAAAACAAAACUACUAAGUUUUGAGUGUAAAAUUUGGUGUAAUAUUAAAAAUUAAAAAAAAAUUGAGGUUUAUAAGAUGUAAAAUUAUUUAUUAAACUCUUUUAAUAAAUUUAAUAUUAUGAUAAUUUAUUAUGAUAAAUAAUAUUUAAAAUAAGAAAAGAUUGAGCUUUUAAAGGAUGAAAUUCUAGUCAUUAGAUUAAAGAAAACAUCACCAAAACCUUAUUUCACAGAUGAAAUCGACUACAUAUAUGAUAUAUCAAUUUUCACGCUAAUAUUCUAUCAAUCACCAUAUUUUAUAGCCAUUAGACUAUUUAAUCAAAAUUAUUCAUAAUAAAUUUCAUUUGAUAUUUACUUUUUAAUAGAUAAUAAAGUAGAUAUAUUUAAUCUUUAUUAAAAAAUUAUUAAACAUUAUUGGUAUUAAAUAUGAUUUUAUUAAUUUUAAUUUUGAUAUAAUUAAUGGAUAUAAGUAUUGGCUCAAGAUAUAUCAAAGCCUUUGCCAAAUUUUUAACAAAGAUUUUAAUAAUAAAAAUUAUGAGUGUAAUAUUUAAAAUAAAAAAUUGAGCUUUUUAAAAUGUAAAAUUAUUGAUUGAAUUAUCAUAAAUCAGUUAAGUGUGUAUUUAUGCAAGAUGGGACAUCCCAUUUGCAGGGGCACAAAUUCAACCCACAACAUCUCACUUUUUAUCUUGGAAAAUUCCAAUCAAUAAAUUACUUGAUCCAAAAAAAUCAUAGUAAAUCUUGUUUGAUAUUUAUUUUCAAUCAAAUAUAUGUAAUCCUUAAUGAAACCUUAAACAUUAUUGAUUUUAAAUAAGAUUUUAUUAACUUUAAUUUUAUACCAUUAAUAGAAGGACUAUAUUCUGGAACGAAUUAAUAUAUUUUCGUUAUUCUUAUUUUUAUUUAAAUAUUUAAAUAUUAUUUAAAUUAAUAAUAAAUAAUUGGUUUUAAAUGUGAUGAAGUUUAUAUCUUUAUCCGAAAAAAUAAACGAUAGUGAAUAUUUAUAUUAAAAAAUAACACAAUACACUUAAAUAUUUAAUCUCCUUAACCUAUCUAAAUAUCUAGGCCGGCAUAAGACAUAUUGAAGUUUAGUGUAAAAAAUUUAACAAAGCUUUUAAUUAUAAAAAUUAUGACUGUAACAUUUAAAAUAAAAAAAAUUGAACUUUAUUAUUAGAUGUCAAAAUAUUUAUUAAACACUCUUAAUAAGUAUUAAAUAUAAAUUUAUUAAAUUUAUUUUUGAUACAAUUAAUGAAUAUAAGUACGGGCUCAAGAGAUAUACACGCCUUUGAUAAAAAAUUUAACAAAGAUUUUAAUUAUAAAAAUUAUGAAUAUAACAUUUAAAAUAAAAAAGUUGAUCUUAAAAGAUGUAAAAUUCUUUAUAAAAUUAUUAUAAUAGUUUUUGAUUAAUUAAUAUGCACAGUCAAUAUCAUUUUUUUAUUAUUAUUAUUAUUAUUAUUAUUAUUAUUAUUAUUAUUAUUAUUAUUAUUAUGCGUCGGUGUACAACUCAUAAAAAAAGACGUCAAUCAUAAAUAUAUAUUGGUACAGUGUCGUCAAUUGGAUUGACGCAUCCUCGUAGGUGUUAUAUGCAGGGAUGAAGCUAGAGAUUUUGAACUGUAGGAGCAAUAUAUUAAUAUAUAAAUUUAUUUCUAUUUAUUUUUAAAUCAUAAAUAUAUAUUUAAUUUAUUUUUAAAUCAUAAAUAUAUAUUAUAUCUAUUUUUUAAGAAAUCUAUCUCUAAAACAAUUUUUAUUAAUUUUUUAAAAUUUUAAAAUUUUAAAAUUUUGUAAAUUUUAAAAUUUUAUUAUCAAGAAAAAUAUUUUUUUAUGUAUUUUUUAUGAGAUCAUAAUAUUAACAUAAAAUUCUAUAAAUCAAUUUUUUUAAAGAUCGAGGAAAAAAUUAUUUUAAAAUUAUAACAAGAAAAACAAUUCAAUAUAUUUCAUCUGACAUGUUUUAAUUUAAUUAUUGAAAAUAAAAAAUUCACUAUAUUUUUGGACAAUAUCCUAAAUAAAUAUUCAUAUACUUUAUUAUUUUCAUCUAAUUUUUAGUAAUAUCUUCAUAAUAAUAAUAUUAUUUAUAUAAAUUUAAAAUAAUAUAAAUUUAUAUAUAUAUAUAUAUAUAUAUAUUUAUAUAUAUUAUAUAUAUAUUAAUAUAUAUUAUAUAUUAUAUAUAUAUAUAUAUAUAUAUAUAUAAUAUAUAUAUAUAUAUAUAUAUAUAUAUAUUAUAUAUAUUAUUUAUAGUAGGGACCAUUUGUCUUAUGCUAUUUUAAUUUGUUAUUUCUUAAUUUCCCCGUCUAUUUCAGUGUUUGGAUUAAAAAAAGGGGGGGGUCGGGGGUUCCCUCUUGGGGGUGGGUUUAGUAUUUUAAUGUUUUUUUACUUAAUAUUUCUUUUGUGUUUUUCACAUUCUUCUAUGUCUUAGAUUGACGUCUUCUUUAUUUUGAAAGUGGGUUACUCUCAGAAAUAAUUGAAAAAGUAAAUUAUUUUAGAUAUCUAUUUGAAAAGUUAGAAAAUCUUAAAUAUUAUUCAUUUUAAAUAAUAUUUUAUUAAUAUAAUUUUUAAUACCAUUAAUAGAAGGACUAUAUUCUGGUAUCAACCGAAAGGAUUAUAUUAUUGGACUAUUUUAAAUUUCCUAUUAUAUUGUUGUCGUCUAUUAUCAAUUUAUUUUAUCAAUAAAUCACUAUUUGAAAUUUUAUUAGUAUUUAAGUCUUUAAAUUCAUCUACACCUUUGACUUCUACUAUUAAUUUUCAUUUUCAUUUUUUUAAUGUUUAUAUAACUGGUACAUUGUUAACUUGUUUAUUUAAUAAACAUUAAGCAAUAUUUUUAAAUUAACUUUUUAAUUUAUUUUUAUAAAUUUAUCUAAAGUUCCCUUUUAUAAUUUAAUUAAAAUUUCAACUCUCUUUUUUUAAUUUCUAAUUUUUUUUAUUCAAAUUUUUUUAAUUGACAUUACUCUAAAUAACAUAAUAAAACAAUUUCCACAAUAAACACAAACAAAAAAAAAAUUCAAAAAUAAGAUAAUUGAUUAAAUAUAAAUGAUUUAAAUUAAAAGUAAAUAAAAUAAAAUUGCAUAAAUAAAAUAUAAUUUUAUCCUUUUACAAUGCUAGAGAGGACAUACACUUUAUCAUAGAAGUAACGAUUAAUUAAUGGAGAUGAUGAAUUAACAUAUUUUAUACUCUCAUAUACACAUUUUAGGUUGGAAAUGAUUUGAUAUAAUCCUUUAUCUAACCUGUUUAAAUUUUAAUGGGUUGAAUUUGUCGUUCAACCCACAAUUUCAUUGUCAAAAUUGACAGAAACCGACUUGUUUAUUUAAGGGUUGUGUUCGCGAUGUUUUAAAUAAAAAUUAUUUUUUUAUAUAUUUUUUAAGAUAUAAAAAAUUUAACCCAAUUCAAAUUAGAUGAAACACAUCAUAUAAUGUCUAAUAAAGUUCAUCAACACGACAUAACACUCGAUAAUAGUAUUAAAUUCUAAUAGUAUCAAUGUUAAAUUAUUUUAAAACAAUUAUUUUAAUUAACUCUUUAAUCAUAACAUUUAUUUAUUAUAUUUUUAUAAUACAUUAUAAUAAAUAUAUUAUAAAUAUUCUUAUUUUUAAUUAGAAAUAUAUAAUGAUAAGUUAAUUAAAUAAUUAUGGUUUGUGAAAAACAAAAACAAAAUCAACGUCAAAGUUAUAUGCUUCAACAAUUUAUAUAAUGACUCAUUUUUAAAUAAAAUAGCUUUAAAAAUUAAAAGUUUGAAAAAUAAUAGUUGAUAUAUUAUAUAUUUUAUUUAUUUUUAUGUUGACAAUAUAAAACAUAGACAUUAAUUUUAUUCUUUAACCAUAAUUUUUAUAAUAUAUUAAAAUAAAAAGUAGUUAAAAUUAACUAAUAAAAUUAAUUAUAAAUAGUUUAAAUAAUUUAAUUAUUAUCAAAUAAAAAUAUAUAAAAUAUUUAUUUAGUAAAGAAUAUUAAAACGAAUAACAAAUUAUAUGAGAUGAUAUGACUUUUUUAUAAUCUUUUGUUUUCUUAAGUUAAAUUAUUUAGUAGAUAAAAAAAAAAAUUAAAAUUGAUAUAUUUCUCUCUCUUCUUUAAAUGAUAUUUUUUUUUCUAUUUCUUACCUUUUAAUAGUUGGAUUAAUCAAAUGGUUUAAAAUUGCACAUGAGAGAGGGCAUAAGAGAAAAAAUUGGAGAGGAUCCAAUUCCGAUAAAAAGAUGUGGUAAAUUUAUGAGUAGUUUAAUAAUUUAUACAUAUUUUUAGCCUUAUUAAUUGUCACUUCGUUGAAAAAGAAAAAGGAAAUAAUAAUAAUGAUAGUGAUAAUAAUUAAAUAAUAUUGAAUUUUUUGACAAAUAAUGUUAUUAAAUAUUAUUGAAUAUAAUAGAUGAAAGAGAAAAAAAAAUGAAGAUCUUUGUCUGGCUUACCUCCUCGUUGAAUAGGGUAUGCUAACUAUUAAUAUGCCAAAGCCUCUUUAAAAAAUUAAACAAAUCAAUUAUAGGAUCCGAUAACUAUUAAGGAAUUUCUUAUGUCAUCAUAUGAAAUGGAAAAACUAUACAAAAUUUAAAAUAUUCAUUCAAGUUUAAAGAUGCAUCUUCGAAUACACAUUUGUAUCACCUUAUGACGCACUAAAUGAGCGACACCCUAAAGUAAAAUAAAAUCUUAUUCCAAAGAUACAUCUCUGAGUAUUUUGAACAAAUAUAUUGAUAUUUAAGCAAGCGUCCUCAGCAUGACCAGAUACCUGUAUCAUACACUCAGUUGCUGUCGUAUCUUGUCCAGUAAGGGGCAAUUGCGCCAAAAGAGAUUCCGCAUGCAACUCCUCCCUAAAAUCACAAGCAUAAUCCUAAUGUGCCUUGUUCAUUUCAUGUCGGAUACAUAGGGCAUUCUAUAGAGGAUUAUUUGGUCCUCAAGGCCAUAAUGCAAGAGUUAAUUGACCAUAAGGUUUUGUCAUUCUUUGACGCAUGACCCAAUGUCAUAAACAACCCGUUGCCAGACCACUGUGGACAAAUAGUGAAUGCAGUUAGUGGCGAAGAUUGCUCAGAUUCAGUUGCUUCUUCAGAGGAGUAUCGAUGCUAGCAAUAUCAUAUUGAUUCAAUCAUGUAUCAUUUGUAAUCCUUUCUUGUUUUUUAAAUGUUGUUCAUUUGUAACUUGUCUGGUUUUUCAGAUGAUAAUAAUAAUGAAAUAAACGUGCAUGUUUUGCUUAAAUCCAUUCGUGUCCACUCAUAUUUUAUUUUAUCAGUAUCAAACUGUUUGUCGAACAAAAUCAAAAGAGAAUGAUGCAAUUAAAAAUACGCAAGAUCGCUGCCUGUAUGGUUUUGAAUAAGAUCGUGCUGAUGAUGUAAGGCAUUGUUCAAUCCCUAAACACCGGAGAUAUAAGGAAGAUAAUCCCUAGUCAACCCCUUUGGGUAUUGUAAUAGGAGUUUCUUUCUUGAACACAUAAAACCCUCAUGCUUAACCAGGGGCAGAGUAUUCUUCAGUUAGUUUAGACUUGCAUUCAAAUUUAAGAAGGACAAUAUCUCAUCCAGUGAUCAAUCAUAUCAUAUCCCUCUCAAGAGGAUGGAAUCAUAAAUCCAGGAUGGUUAUCCCUUACCCAUCAAAAAGAGUGAGAUAAUCACGACUCGUGCAACAAAUCGAGAAAGCUGUGUCACAAGGUUUUCUCUAGUACAAAAAUAAAAGAUGAAACAAAAUUAAAAGCCCGCUAAGUCAAAAGCUUGAAAACAAGAUUGACUUAGGCAAAAGUCAGGGUAUCCCGGUGGGAUGCAGACCCAAAGGAUCAGCCUAGGAAAAAAUAAGGGUAAACAAAACAAAAGAAUUAGAGGAUCAAUACCAAAAUUCGUAGCGAGAGCAAAUCCCUGUGACUAUAAACAAAAGCAGAAGGCGAGUGGCUAUCGCUCUAAAUUCUCGUGGAUUCCUUAAACCAUCAUUGUUGAUAUUCAAAAUCCUUUCUGAAAGACGAACGCUUAUUUUAAGCUAAUUGAAUAUAGAACUAGAUAACAUCACACAGAAUGGGUGGGUUAGAAUAGGUUUUGAGCCUUAUAUCCUUUCUUUCUGAAACCGUGAACUAGGCCAAGUUACAACCCUCAAAAGACCUAAUUGAAGUAGGGUUUAUUUCAAAAGCAUACUAUGGUAAGAUCGCGUUAAGCUGACUCCUUAAGAUUUUCUUGUCAUAUGUUUGAUACUGAUAUGGCAUUCUAAACAGUGAUUUGUUCACUAGAUGUCAUAAUCUUAGUGAACACACUUGAGUUUUCAAAACUUGCAUGAGCAUGACAUUACAAUUAUCAUUUUAAAAAUGAGCGUUUUACAUGCGAACAUGCAUUUGACACCAAGGAAGCUUACAAUGGGAAAGUUGAUCAAAUUCCUAAUAUCCCAUAGCUCAAAUCUCUUCAAGAGCCCGUCAAUCUAAGGCACCAUGCCAAGAUUUUGCAAAUCUCUCUGAAUCAGCUGUAUAAGGGAAAAGUUUAAUUCGAAGUUCAUAUUGGGGAAGGCCACCUCAAGAGCAUGAGAAGUCAAUCACUCCUAAGAUAAUUAACUAGGAGGAUAUAGUUUCAAGAUGCUGGGGCAAGCCAGUUUGAGAUACUCAGAUGACGAGAUCACUCUAAUUUGUAAUUGGAGAAAUUGGUGCAGAUAUCCAAUACAUUGGGGCAGAGGCAGGCUACGCAGGUACAAGCUCUCUCCAUGUUCUAGACAUAAUCCAGAGGUGUGACAACAAUUUUUCAGCUUGAAGUAGGUUCGAAGAAUCACGUCUGGAGGAUACCAUAUCCUAGCCAAAAAUUUCCACCUCCCUCUAUAUGAGCACCUGGAUUAACCAUUGCAUAAAUCAUUAUCAUGAAUAAAUCACGUCGCUUCACUCAUGCAUACCAUUCAUCUAUCAUAGCAUGAAGCCGUGUGUGAGAAUCAAAGGAAUUAAAGCCCAGUAUUUUAUUGGCAUCUCCAAAUUCCAAACUUGCCUGGUACCUUUUUAAACCAUCUAGUUUGACAAUUCUUCCAAAAUCCAAUUUGCUUGGCGUCUUUUAAGCCCAGUUUGCUUGGUAUCUUUUUUCGACCUUUAGGGUCGAUGAUCCUCUUUUCCAACAUUCAUGGUUGAGGAACCUUUUUUCAAUCUUCAGGAUUGAUAACCUUUUUCCAAUCUUUAGGGUUGACGAUCUUUGUUUCUAACCUUCAUGGUUGUUGAAUCUUUUUCCCACCAUUAGGGUGAUGAUAGACUUUGUUUCCGGCCUUUAAGGUUGAUGAUCCUCUUGCUUUCAACCUUUGCGGUUGUUGAAUCUUCUUCCAACCAUCAUGGUUGUUGAAUCUUUUUCCUACCUUUGUGGUUGUUGAAAAUUUUUCCAAACCUUCUUGGUUGAUGAACUUUUUCAAUCUAUGUGAUUGACAAACUUUUUUCCAAACUGUAAGGUUGAUGACCUUUCUUUUUUUCAAACCUCUGUGUUUGACUUUGUUUCCAGUUUUUGAACUGAUGAUUCAUUUGUGAAACCCCUUGUUUGCAAGAAUAUUUUGGAACUUUCAUGCGCUCUUUGAUUAGCAUACAUGGCCACAUGUUUCAAAAAUGAUAAAAAAAAAUACAAUUUAGCAUGCAUAUCAUGAUCGUCAUUUGCCAUUAAUAUCCCCACAGUACAUCAAAAUCACCAGCAAAUAAACCCGUAAAAAAUCAAGUUGAUAUCCCUAUAUCUCAUACAAUUGUCCUUCAAGGAAAAAAAUUCGGAUACUUCGAUAUUUAAUCCACGCAUACCUUAAAAAGCUGAAAAGCUCUCGCAAUUCGACCAUUCAGGUCUAAGCUGAUUAAAUAGGGGCAGAUGUCGUAUCCUAAAUUUGUCCUCCCUAUUUCAUCUUUCCACUCAAUUUAUCAACUUGAGAUUCAUCUGUACCACAUUCAUAUUUCAUUCAUAUGCAUCAUUCAUUAAUCAUACAUUCAAAGCUUGUGGCCUGCAAAUCUAAGGUUUGUUGAUGGGACAUGGCUCUUCAUAGGCUCAUCAUGUGAGGGGAAACCCUAAUUUCAUACUCUUUUAGACUUUGAUUCAAAAAGGUUACAAUCACGACAUUCAUUUAGUCAUUCAAACCCUUAUUCCUGACUUUGUUGUCUUUCGGUCUCACAAGCUUUCACCUGUGUAUCAUGAAGCCCUAAUCAGGGAAGAUUUGGUCCGGUUGCACCUUAUGGCUUGACUUUUCAUCUUGUGUGUGCUGGAAACCCUAAUUCAUUAGGGAGAGGUGUUUGACUAUCCUAUUAUGCAUGCCUACUGGUUUGGAAUUGCACAUGAUUCAGGUCUUGUUUCAAGCAUCCCUAUGCCCAUCACAUUUAACUUUGCAUAGGCCAUUAACUCAAGUCUUUUGGUAUGGGCAAAUGCAUAGACCCAUAUGCCCGAUUCACUUCAUUCAUAUGAUGCAGAUGAUCAAGGAUGAUUGGUCCAUUUAAGAUUUGGUUCCAUUGGUUCAUUCUUUGUUUCUUAAGCAAAAUCAUUAUUUCAUUUGAAUUAUGUCAUGUGAAAACCCUAAUUCAAAUUUCACAGUUGACUUCGAUUAACUAGUUUACCAAAGUCAACCAUCCCUUUUUGAGUCCAUUAAACUUUUUCAUUAAUCAUUCACACUUAAUCACAUUUUUCGAGCUAUUUGAUGCAUCCAAUUCAUUCAAUUUUCAAAUGUAAUUUUGACCAUUCCAAACAUUUUAACCAUUCAAGGUUAACAAUUUAAGUUCUAUAAACCAUCUUCUUUUACAAUAUAUUUCCACUCAUAAACUUUCCAUAAGCAUUCAAAAUUUUCCAUCAUAAAUAUCAUUCAAUACAAUAAACUUGUCCAUGGUUCGCGCAUUUAAUCCUUUCUUUCCAUCAUUUAUUUGCAUUGCAAUUCUAUUCAUCCAAAGUAUCAAACUUUUCAUAAUCACCAAGUUCCAUUCCAAUACAUUCAAGUUUUACCUACAACUUUCCUUUACAAUUAUUACAAACCAUUGUUUUACAUUGUUACACUAUGUAUCAACCAUAUCCUACAUAACCAUAUUAACCAUUCCAAAUGAUCAAGCAAGAUAGAAUUUCAUUCACUAACCAUACAAGAUAUCUCAAGCAUACAUUUCCAUUUCAAGCUACAUUAUAAUGCAUCAUAAUCCAACAAUAUCAUGAAGCAGCCCAUGGCCUCUUAUGCAUUCACUAGAAAUAUUUCCAUAGCACAAAUUGGCCAUGUCCCAAAAGAUAAUGCACAAAAAAAGCAUGAAAUAUCAUGAUUCUGUUAGGCUCUGUUUUGAAAUUAUUUACCUGAUGAACAACAGACAUAAAUGCCGAUCGAGGUUAUAUGGAAGCUUCAAAUACUGAAAAAGAAAACACACCCAUUGCAUUGAUGGCUACAGCUCUUCCUUUGAAACGCCAUUGAAGCUUCAAUUCGUGGAGCUUAAACCACUGCACCUCUUCGACCUCACGCGGAAAACGCAACAACAGCAUAUGCUUAGAAGAACAGAGGGAGAGGAAUAAGAUUGCAGCAACAUAACAGAAAGAGUGAAGGAACAAAAUUGAGACGAAGAAAAAGGGAAGAGAUCGGUCAAUACCUGUUCGCAGUUGAAGCAUCAAAUUUGGUAAGUCCUUUUGAUUUUCUUUUCUUUCUGUUUAAGUCCGCGAGCACAAUGUUGGAUGGAAUCACAUGUCGAUGAGGUUGAACACAAUCCAUGAACUCUAUUAUCUGUUAGAAUUAGAAUAUUAGGUUAUUAAGUGACAAUUAGAAAUUGUGAUUUAAUUAGAAUUCUAGUAUUGAUAGAUUUUGGAUUUUCAUUAGAAUUAAUUAGAAAUUUUAGAAUUUAACUAGGGUUUUAGAAUCUAUUUUAGACUAAUUAGAUUUUCACAUAAUUAUAUAUAAUUAUAAUUAAUUAGUUUUUGAUUAAAUGUUGAUUAUUAGAAACUAUUUUCCUAAUUAAUCCAUUUAUGCAUAUUGACUAUUUUACCCUUUAGAGGUUAUGUUUGUCAUUUUAGCCAUAAGGACAUGUUCCUUUAGGUUUAGAUCUUGACAUCAAUUUUUAAUCAAGUCUUGACCAAUUAUAUCAUGAUCCCUUAGGAUAGUUUGUAACAAAUUCUAACCAUUAGAUUAGGAUUUAAUCUAGUUUUCAAACUAAUUCAAACCUUCUGAUUCAAAUUGAUCAAAAGCAAUUUUGAUCAAUUAAAUCAUUUGAUAUUGUAUAAUCCCACAGUCUAAUUUGAGUGACACAAAUACUCUUGGUCACCUAAUGAGACUUUUUCGGUAAGUUGUGGAGCUCGAGGCCUCAAGUCAUAUUUUCAAUCAAGGCAUCAUCGGUCAGACCAAGCAGUGGAUAAUACAAGGUACAUCAAAGGUGGCAUCUUUGAGAGCUUGUCAAAUCAAAGUUAUGAUUGUGUGGCAUGAGCCUUGAGUAAUGAAGAAAGAAUGAGACUGAAGAAUUCCUACCCCCAUCAACACAAAGGGCAUCAUGUCAGCAACUUGUUAAUUUUGAUUCAAGUUGCAUGCCAUGAGCCUUAAGAAACAAAGAAUGAUGAGAGUGGGGAAUUCCUAUCCUUGUCUAGAAUAUUCUUGGGUACGGGACGAAUGACCCAGUUGCUCAAAGUAUUCGCCUUUUUCCAUAGACUUUGGUGCAAUUUAAAUCAUGCAAUUGACAAGCCUUCUUCUUCAAGCAAGCAUCAAUCAUUCAACACUUCAAUAGUGAAACACCAUUACCCCCUUUAGUAUUGGACUUUCCUCCUGGAUGUUCAUACAUUUCUUGGGAUUAUUACCUUGGGGUCACAUACCCAUCUCGCAAUCAAUUGCUUCAUGCAUUGCCUAUCAGUUCACACUAUGGCAUACUUCAUUGCUUGCCCUCAACGUACAGACCCUGACAUUCAGCCUAUGGAGUACAUACUCUGGCUUUGUUUCUUCCCCAUAAGGUACAGACCUUGGCAACUUCUUGCAGCCCAUAGAGUAUAGACUCUGGCUUUAUUCCUUGCCUACAACAUACCGAUCUUGGCAUCCUUGCCCUAAUGAGUUCAGACUCUGGCCAUCUGAUUUUGUCUAUACAGUACUGACUUUGACAUAUUAUUAUGCCUUAUAGUUAAGACUUUGGAAUUCAUUCAUCCAGCCCAUUGGGUUCAGACUUUGGCAUCGUACUAUUUUGCCCUUAUGGAGUUCAGACUCUGGCAUUCAAAUCAGUUCAUUUGCCUUAUAUAGUUCAGACUAUGGCAUGCUUAUACAUCUUGCCCAUGGAGUUCAGACUCUGGCAACCUUUAACAUUGUCUUGAAGUCAGACUUUAGAAUUAUAUCUCCUUUUCCCUUAUUGAGUUCAGACUCUGAGAAUCUGUUCCUUGCCUUUGUAUUAGUUCAGACUAUGGAAUUCAUCUAUCUUGCCUUGUGGAGUUCAGACUCUGGCUAUAUCUCAUUUGUCCUUAUGGUUGAUUACCAUCUUUGGUAAGUGUCAUACUCUCGCUUAUUAAGCAAUCACCUUGCCUCUGAGCAAUCCUAUCAAAUCUCCCUUUGCUUUCAGUUGUAGUAGGCUAAACUACGAUUGCUCUGAUUUUCUCAUUGCACGAUGAGAAUACAUAGGCACAAGGGUUCAAAUCCUCCGUGAGCAUACUUAUUUAUUACUCCUACCUUAGGGCAUUUCUCCAUCCAUCUCCAUGAUACAGUCAUAUACUACCUUUAUUCACUUCAUGUGAUAUACCCUAUUCUUUGAGCCAAAUACAUUAUACCUUUGUGCUCCAUCUUGUACCCCUUUGUGAACCAAGAGAUGUUUCUGUUGUGAAACCAAAAUUAAUUUCCUUUGUUUUCGGCUAUACCAUAUAGUGGCGAAUGUUCAGACAAUCCAUAUAUCGGUUUAUUCCAGUUUUACUCUUGGGUUCACGCUUUCACCCCUUGUUGGGGUUCAAAAUAUUAUCCUCUGGUUCAGGCCAUACCUUGAUCACAACUUCCUUUUCAUCUCCCACCACUAGUUCUUUGAACUACGAAGUUAUGAAUUCCUCAUUGCACUAUGAGUAUACAUAGGCAUGAGGGCCCUAAUCCUCACCGAGCACUCUAUCUAUUUCUUUUCAUUUUCCCCAUUCUUUUGCGAGUAAUCUUUAGAUACAACACUCAUUCGAGCGAGAACAAUCAAAACGGUUCCCAUGGAGUACCAUAGAUGUUAGGGAUGCUAAUACCUUCCCAUUGCAUAAUCAACUUCCUUACCCAACAUAUCUCUUUCCCCUGGGUUUUAUCGAUGUGUUCGGGUAUAUUUCCGCUAGCUGCAUCACCAACUCCAAAAUCUCAAAAAAGUGUUUUUAAAGGAACUCGCAUUAGCAAACCACCUCCUUCACCGUCUCUACCAAAAAUUUCAUUCAUUGACGAGAUGUUAUUUUUUUCAUAAAUACAUCGAACAAAUCGUCAAUGUUGAGGGUGACGGUAAUUGCGAUUUUCGAGCUAUUUCGAUUUUGCUGGGUAAAGGAGAAGAUGAUCACACACUUGUCUGCCAUCAACUUAUCCAUGGUUGAGGACCCAUAUAGAAUUAUACACACGACUUUACCGAAAGAAACAAAAUUUUGAUGCAAUUUAUGAGUCUUUUAUUCCUUGCAUUAGUGGUCCGAAACCAGAGGAAAAAUGAAUGUGCUUCCCUGAAAUGAGUCAUCUCAUAGCAAGUGCAUCUGAUAAAGUGUGUAUUGGUCUUACAAGAUACGAUUUUUUGGAAACUUUUUUUCCACUGCGCACCACCCAACCUCAAAAUCUAAAUGAUCGUAUUUUGUGUAUUAGAAUACCUUUAAAAUUACGACACUUUGUUCAAAUUUAUUUGAAACGGGAUGUCGUAUACCACUUACAUCAGUGGAGUGGACAACUCAUUCAACAAUAAAAUCCGGGACUUAGACGGGCCAAUUUAUGGAAAAGAUGCAAGAGUUUACCAAAUUGAGCGACAUUGAAAGUGAAUAUAAUGCACAAAAGUCAAAGGGGGAACCACUCAUACUUAUAAAUUUAGCCAUCGACAAAUAUUUCGAUUCGUUUUAGUUUUUCGUUAUCAAUUAAUUGUAUAUAAUUUUGUAUUAAUAGUAAGGGUUAAUAACAUUUUUAUAGAAACAUUCUAGUUGUACCUUGGGGGGAAUGACCCAUGAUUGAUGCUUACGUGUCAUGAUAAAUAUCAUGAUAUAUUUUAGUUUUUAGUUUUUUAAUUACAUAUAUGCUUACGUGGACUUACAGUUUUUUAUUUAUGAAUUAUUUCUAUUUUCAUGUGAAAAUUUAUUUUCUUUUUCAUUUAUUUUAAUCAUAACAAUUAUCAAAACUACUUUAAGAAAGUUCUAAAAUUUUGUCAACAAUGAAAUUCUCAUACGGAUUUGGCAAGGAACUUUGAAAGGAGAUUUGAAAGCGUGAACCACAACCAUAGAUAGGAAGAAGGAGAAUUAGGGUUCAACAUAGUUUGAACCGUGUUUAUGUUUAUGUUAGGGACCGAUUCGGGCUAGACCCAAUCUAGGUUCGGUUGAUCCACUAACCAUUAGUUUUUUUUUUAAAUUAUUUUGUGAGUAUACCAUUUGUUGUUUGGCCUUACCUAUUUGUGACUUGGGCAAACCCCACUUUAGGAGCCAUCUUGUCUUAUUUAUUUAUUUAUUUUUGUCUUUUCCUCAACCUUUUUUAUUGCAUUAAUAUUUUAGUAAAAGAAUAUAUAAAAAACAUAAACUUUUUCAUGAAAAAAAAGGUGGUUUACAAUUUUAUAAUAAUUGAUUUUUAUUGUUAUUUCAAUUUUUUUAUCAAUAAAUAAAUAAAAGUAGACAAAAUUUGUUUGAUGCGUGCCUUAGGGUUUCUUUUUCCUAUCAAGCUAUAUCUCAAAAGAAGAAUAUUUCUUUAAGAAUUAUUCCUUUUUUUAAAAAUAAAUUUGAUUCCAUUAUGGUUUGAUUUGUUUGAUCUUUAUUGAUUGUGUGAAUGCUUGUAUUGUUCAUACUUGAUCCAUGAUUUAUGUAACCUUUCACUUAGACCUUCGAUUGUUAGUAAGAUAAAAGUAAAUGUGCAAUAAAAUCAACCUUUUAAAAUAAGAUUCAAACACUCUAUCGAUAUGAAUUUGGUUUUAAAAAGAUCUCACUAUUUUCACCAUCCAUUCAAAGUUAAUUUCAAGUCAUCUCACAAAUUAUUUUCAUGCUAACACGAAUAAACCCUCGAUCAACAUCGAGUUUCUUUUUUGCUUAUUAAAAACUUGAAAAUCAUUUUCAUAAUAAAUCAGUUGAAAAAGGAAUGGGAGGCGCACACAUCUCUACUCCUCGAAUAAGUGAGUGAUUGGUAGACUCCAUAUUGCUCUAACUUUCAUCUUCCGAAUAAAAUAUCCUAAAUAAACAUGGAUGAAAAAGGAAGAGAGGCGCACACAUCUCUACUCCUCGAAUAAGCAAGUGGAAGACACACACCUCGCUACUGCGAAUAUUUUUUCUUCCGCAAAUAAUUUUCAAAAUAUUAAAAUCAAACAAAAAAGGAAUGGGAGGCGCACAACUUGUUGCUCCUCGAAUAAGUGAGUGAUUGGUGCGCGCCAUAUUGCUCGAGCUUUCAUCGUCUUCCUACAAAACACUAAACCAAUCAAACCUAUUUUCUCGCCCCCUUCGUUCAUCCCAAGACGAUGUAAACACGCUUCAUUUCUACCAUGCGCAAGAAGUUAUAACUCUUUUCGCUCGAAUGUGACGAGAACAAAUUUGUGAGAAUCUGGAUUAUGUUAUUCAUUCUAAUGUGAUGCCAAUGUUCACUUCUCCAUGUUUUUAGUAGCAAAUAAUGUUUUCGCUCGAAUGCGACUAAGUACCUUUCGUAAAAACUGAUCAACAAACAAAAAAUUUCUACCCAGAACUACGUAGCCUUGAGUUUUUCAUCGCACCUGAGAUAUGUAGAAGCGAGACCCGUAAUCUCGUCAGGCACAUUAAUAAAAGAAAACAUUUUGCGACCCAUUUUGUUUUCUCUUUACACUUUUGACCACUCGAAGAAAACAUAUGACAUAAGCUAAAAUUUCAACCACAAAUCUAACUAAAUGGUUCCCGUUGAGUGUAACAGAUGUGAGGGGUGUUAAUCCCUUCCCCUCGCAUAAUCGACUCCCAAACCUGAAUUUGAUUGUGACAAACAUUUUCUUUUUCUUUUAAGGAUUUUAUCAAUAUUUCCCCUCCUUUUUGGAAUAAAUCAAUUUUGAUGGUGACUCUGUUAUCUUGACCAUGCAAGCGCUCAUGGUCAUUUUUCGCGUCGCGACACUACUGUACAAUAGUUAUCUGUAUCAAAAACUAAAAUAUUUGUGUCUGUAUCUUGUUGUCUAGGAUUGUUGGAAACGAGAAGGAUGGAAAAAUAAAGUGUGUUUAUUUUUCUAUGUUGUAAAAUCACAAGGUGGUUUUUCUUGGUGAUUAAGUUAGAAUCUUGUGUAUAGAAUCUAGGUUUAGGCUUGUACAAAAUAAUAACAAUAUUGAAAUCUCUUAUAGUGUCUAAGGGGACUGACAUACUCUCAGAUUGUGAUGGGAACUAGUAUGAUUUUCGAUGUUAUUUACUUUAUGCACUUUACUGCUUUCACCACCUAACCAUAAACCAAAAAAUAAAGAAACAUUCAUCUCUAAAAACAAUGUACUUACAGCGAGAGCAUGAUAUUCCGCUUCAGUACAUGAACAAGACACAAAAUUUUGUUUCUUUAAGCGCUAUGAAAUCAAGGAGUUACCCCAUAACACAUAAAUGCUAGUGUAUAUUUCCUAGUAUCCAGACAACGUGCCCAGUCGAAGUCAGCAAAACCAUGCAGCUUUAAGGAAUUAUUGCUGGCAAAAAAAUGCCUCGAGUAGGAAAUGCCUUCAGAUACUUCAAAACUCGAGUGGCUUCCUAACGGUGAGGAACCAAGGGGUUAGCCACAUAUUGGCUAAGGUGACGGACAAUAAAAGAAAUACUUGGCCGUGUGUUUGUAAGGUAAAGUAGCCUGCUAAUUAAUUUACAAUAUGAAGAAGGGUCCUCUAAAGGAGUACCUUCACUAGAUGAGAGCUUCAUGUGAGGAUCAAUAGGUGUGGAGACAAGCUAAGCCCCAAGAAAACCAGUGUCCUCAAGCAGCUAGAGCAUGUAUGUUCUCUGGCUGAGAAAGAUACCAGAAGUAGAACGUGCAAUUUUGAGGCCCAAGAAGUACCUUAGUUGACUGAGAUCUUUAAUGCAAAAUUGUUGAUGCAGGAAAGACUUUACUUGUUUAUUCCACAAUCGAGUCGCUUGUCAAGACAAUAUCAUCAAUGCACACUGAUAAGGAAGUGAAACCAUGAGGUGUGAUCUUGGUGUAUAAUGAGUGACCAACAACAGAUUGAGAGUAGCCUAAUGAAAUGAGAGCUGAAGAAAGCUUAGAAUGCCAUUGUCGACUGACCUGUUUCAGUCCAUACAAUGAUUUUUUUAAGUGUACAAACCUUGUUGGAUUCAAGAUUACCAUAGCCAAGAGGAAGAGACAUAUAUACUUCUUUAUUUAGGUCUCCAUGAAGGAAGGAGUUUUUAACGUCCAGUUGCUCAAGGUGCCAGUGUUUGACAGCUGCAAGAGAUAAAAGAACACGAACAAUAGUAAUUUUGGCAAUUGGGAAAAAAGUAUCAAAGUAAACUACAUGUUCUAAUUGAGUGUAACCCUUGGCUACCAACCGGUCCUUGCAUAUAUCAAUAGAGCCAUUGGCAUGGUACUUGACUUUGUAUAUCCAUUUACAACCAACUGGAGUUUUGCCUAGAGGAAGGUCCACAAUGGUCCAAGUUUGAUUGUCCUUAAGAGAUGCAAUUUCAGUAUCCAUGGCCUACUUCCAACAGUCAUGUUUAGAGGUAUGAAGAUAGGUUUUUGGUUUAAAUAUGGAUGAAAUAGAGCAACAAAAGGAUUUGUAAGUUGGAGAGCAUUUUUUAUAUGAUAUAAAGUUGGAGAUAUGGAAGGUAGUGGAAGAGGAGUUAUUUAUAGAGGCAUAUCUAUUUGAUGAAAGAAAGAGAUUACAAUAAUAGUCUUUGAGAAAACUAUGAGGGUGUUUGGUUCUCAUUGAUUUUUGAGUUAGUAGUGUGGAUUGGUUUUGGGGAAUGUCUGAGGGAGGGUUAGAAUUAUGUGGAUACAUGUUAUCAACUAAGGUAUCAUGAAGGAUGUUGGGUUCAAAGUCAAUAACACUAGGAUCUUGGGUACUUGGUGAUGGAUUAAAAGUAGUUUGAUAUGGACUUGAGGUACUAGAGUCAAUCAAAGUAGGUUGAUUGAGACUUGGAAGGUUAGGGAUAAGUCCUGUUUCAGAAGUAAUAGGAUAAUCAUAAGAAUUUGUGACUGGUGUGACAACAGUAGAAGGAGUGGACAUAUGAGGCUCAGGGGUCAGAGUGAGGGCCUGAGGUGUAACAUAGUCAAUGUCAUAGGUGAUGUCCAUCAAGCUAUGAAUAUAAGUAGGGAGAUUUGUGGCAUUACUUUUGAAUGGAAAGGUGGUUUCAUAAAAGAAAACAUUUAGAGAUAUGAAUAAGUUAUGAGACUGAAGGUCAUAGAGAAUAUAACCUUUAGUACCAUCUUUGAAACCAAGGAGAAUGGCUUUUCUAGCCCUACCAUUGAAUUUUGUUAUGUGGGUCUGUAAAGUUGUUGAAAAACAUAAACAAACAAAGACUUUCAAAUGAACAAUAAUAUAUUAAGUUUUGAAAAAGCAACUCGUAUGGAGAUUUUGACUGAAGUUGAGGACUAGGGAUCCUAUUAGUCUUGUGGACAACAUGUUGAAUACUGAAGUUCCAUAGGUUUAAAGGAAUAUGUGUUAAUGUUUUCUCUCAACCACCCCAUUUUGCUGUUUUUGUUAUAGUGGUGGUGGUGGUGUGUGUGUGGCGGGGGGGGGGGUGUUCUACACAAGAUUUAUGGCGACUUAUGCCUUUGGAAGGGAAAAAGGAACUAAGAGUUAGGAACUUUGAACCCUUAUAUGACCUAAAGCAUUUAAGAGUGGUUUUGAAUUUAUUUCCUAUUGAGGCAAUAAAAUGUAUUACACUUUGUUUUGUUUCAGAUUUUUCCUUAAUAAAAUGACCCAUGUAAACCUUGAAAAUCCAUCAAUAAGAGUUAAGAAAUAUUUAUAGCCUAAAAUAGAAUCAGUAGAAAAGGGCCCCCAUAAAUCAACAUGUAAAAGUUCAAAUGGAGCAUGAGUAUGAGUAAGACUAUUUAGAAAGGGGAAUUUCUUUUGUUUUGCAAAAUGAAACGAAUCACAAGGGUUCAUGUUAUUUUUACAAGGGAUGGGGGGAAAAUGUUUAGCCAUAGUUUUCAUACUGAAAUUAGAAAGGUGGCCUAGUCUUAGAUGCCAAAGUUCAAAGGAAUUAGAAAUAACAUAAUUACUAGUGGAAUAAACAUCACUAAUAUCUAUCACAUAGAGGCCUCUGUGCCAUUUAGUUGUACCAAGCAUUUGCUUUGGAUGGUUCUGCAAAAUAUGACACAAGUUUGAAGAAAAUUUCAGAUAGCAAUCAAUAUUGCUAGUCAAUUUUGUGACUAAGAUUAAAUUAACAUGAAAGUUAGGAAUAUAGUGAAAAUUGUAAAGAGUUAAGGAAAGGGAAAUGACAAUGUUUCUAGAUAUGCAGGCAGUCAUGUGAGAUUCAUUUGGUAAGGAGAUUAAGCUAUUGAUUAACUUAACUCACAAAGAAAGAGUCGCCACAACGCUUUUAUUAUUUCCAAAGAAAAUAGAAAAAGAACGAACCAAACCCAAAGAAGUUUAAAAAAAACUAAUAAAAACAAAGAUAAGGGUCCAGGGGUUGGUUAUGUACAGGGAAGAUACUAGCACCCUAAGCAUCUAUAGUACUCUACAGGAACAUCUUUGAAAAUAUGUGCAUUUAGAUUUAAAAUGGUGUUGUUUACAAAAGAUUAGGGAGAUGAAAAGAGAUUUUUUUUUUAUAAUUUUUGUGUUUGCCAAGACUUUCUGAACCUCGUGCCUACGUACCCAUAAAGUGCAAUGGCGAAUCAAAACCUCGUAGUUCGUGGUAAAAAUAACAAAGAUGUUUGCUUUGAUUCAUUUUUAAUGAAUUUUUUUUUGUCAUUUUAAGAAGAACAUUCAACUAGCCAUCCACAAGUAUGGGAACUUUGCAUCACCAUGAGAAGGACUCUAACUUGGAUAAAUAUCAACUAGCUCUCUUAUAUAGAAAAGAAUUAUUAUCAAUACUAUGGGGAUAGAAAAAUUAUAUAUCAACUAUGGAAAUGACUCGUGUCUAAACUUUGAGAAAAAAGUUUUAAAAAGGAAAAAAAAAAGUGCACAAAGGGCACAAAAAGGUUUGAAUGAGUUAUGCAUUUUUAGUUUUUUGAAAUUGGUUUGAAUAUGAUUAAGAUGUAUUAGAAUUUAUUAAUAAAAGAUUUUGAAAAGAAAUCACUUGAAAAAAGUCAAGGUUUAUUGAGGAAGUAGUUCAAGUUUGAAAACAAGAAUGUUUUGAAAAAAAGAGAGAAGAUUUUGAAAAUCAAAGAAGGGGAGGAGAGGAAGAGAUUAUCCUAGAACAUAAAGUAAAAGCUAUGGAGGAAAGAUCCAACCAAGAGAUAACAACAAGAAUUCACUCCUUUGGAUUAAGCCUUAAGCAAGUCAAAUAAGCAAAGAAUAUUCCAUGUAUCAGAUGAAACCAAAGUAGCCAAGCAAAAUCUUCAAAAGAAUCUCAAAGUCAAAGGUAGCAGAUGAAUCUCAAGGUCUCAAAUCAGAAACUCCCAAAAGAUAAACAAGUAUGCCACUAGUUCUCUUAGAUGGAAAAUAAUUAUCAUCAAUACUAUGGGUAUAGAAUAAUUACAUCUCAACUAUGGAAAUGACUCAUGUCUAAACUUUGAGAAAAAGUUUUAAAAGAAAAAGUGCACAAAGGGCACAAAAUAGUUUGAAUGAGUAAUGUAUUUUUUAAGUCUUUUGAAAUUGGUUUAAAUGUGCUUAAUAUUUAUUAGCAUUUAUUAAGAAAAUAUUUUGAAAAUCACUUGACAAAAGUCAAGGUUUAUUGAGAAAGUGAUUCAAGUUUGAAAACAAGAAGGUUCUUGAAAAAAAAAGAGAAGAUUUUGAAAAUUAAAGAAGGGGAGGAGCUAAGAAGAUUAUCCUAAAACAUAAAGUAAAAGUUAGGGUGAAAAAUCUAACUAAGAGAUAGCAAGCUUUAUGACAUGUGUUAAGUAAGAACACUCUCCUUUGGAUUAAGCUUCAAGCAAGUCAAACAAGCAAAGAAAAAUCCAUGUGUCAGAUGAAACCAAAGUAACCAAGGAAAUUAUUUAAAGUAAUCCCAAAGUCAAAGGUACCAGAUGAAUCCCAAGGUCUCAAACUAUAAACUCCCAAACAAGGGUCAAAAUUCUAGUUCUAACUCCGUAACUCCAUAAUAAUCCCAAUGAUAGUAACCUCAAGUCCAUGAAUUAAGAGAACCAAUUUUUAGGGGUUUUUUCCUUUAUUAAUGUAUUUAAAAGAAAAAGAAGUCUAAAUGGACAAAGAAAAAAAGGCAUAAACAUAAACAAAGGUCCAAGUGGACAAAUAGAAAAUAGCAUAAAUACAAACAAUAUGAUAUGCGAUGCUAAAAUAAAAUCAUAAAGUUAAUAACAAGAAAUAAAUGGCAAAAAAAUAAAGAGCAUAAGAUAAAUGGCAUUAAAGUAAAUUUAAUAUAAUAAUAUGUUAGUAAGUUGUGUUAGUAAUAAAAAAUUGAAAGAUAAUUUAUCAUUUUUGGGAGAAUACUCAACUAUUCGCCCACAAGUAUGAAAAUGUGGACCUCUACAUCACCAUGAGAAAGACUCCAACUUGGAUAAAAUCAAUAAGUAUGCCACUAGUUUUAUUAGGUGAAAAGGAAACAAUAUUUUUCACACAAUACCAUGGGGAGUAGGAGACUUACAAUCUCACUUAUGAAAAUGACUUACUUUCGGAUUCAGGAUAAAUUUAACGUUAUGUUAAGCAAUCGUAAUUGGACUCAUGUUGAAGUCACAACUAUCUGAGCCCGGUCAAUAAUAAUAUUUAUGUUAAUACAUGCUAGAGAAAUUAUAUGUAAAUCAUUCUCCUAAAGAUAUGCCACACAAAAAAAGGAUGGAUCAAGCACAAAUGUUAAGAGAGUUGUUCAUUACAUCAAUCAAUACUUCAUGAUACUUAGGACAAGCUUAUGCAUCAAUCUAAAGUACCUUAAAUAUUCUAUGAUCAAUUAGGAGGUAGAUUUGAAGUGAUGAAAGUUCAUCAAGUACCAAUUCAUACAUCAUAAACAAGAUGAACACAAACCAUCCAAUUGAUCAAGAGAAAAAAGGAAGCGAAAGAGAUUAAGAAGAAGAAGAAGACGAGAGAAACCAAACUCAAAUUGGAUCAAAGGAUUGAUCAAGUCAUCAUCAAAAUCAAUCAUCCAUCUUGGUAGAUUUGGGUUUUCACCCCAUCAACACCGAAGAUCCAUUGAAUUUGAUGAGAUUUAUGAUCAAAAUAGCCAAGAUCCAAGGUCAACAGAAGUCAACAAAGGUCAAACAAGCAUAAAAUGAAAGAAAAUAAAAUAAAAUGCAUCAAAAAUAUUUUUUAAAUGAAUUUUAAAAGGCAAAUAAAACAAAAAAUUCCAUAAAACCCUUUAAAAUACCAAAUAAAUGGCCAAGAAAAUUAUGGAAGGUUGAAGAUAAAAUAAGGAACAUAAAAUAAAUUUUUCAAAUAUUUUUAAUGCAUAAAAGUAUUUUUAAACUAAUUAAAAAAAGGGGAAAAAGAGGAAAUCCAAGAAAAUAAAAUAUGGAAAAAUAAAAAUCAGAUGAAGAAAAAAAAAAGAAAAUUUUAGAAAAUAUUUUGGGAUUUUUUGGAUAAAAAAUGAAUUUUCUAUAAAUUUUUAAAGAAAAUGCAAUUUAAAAUAAAAAAUAAAAAGAAAUAAAAAACAGAAAAAAAUAGAGGCAUUGGAUCUGACCUCAUUAAUUGACGUGGCAAAUCCAACAACUAUCAGGCUAGGGCGCAUGGUGGAAAAUAGUUAGAAUAAAACAUGGAAUCACAUUCAAAAUGGACCAAUCAAAACAUUUCAAAAUGCCAACGUGGAUAGCCAACUCAGAUGGCCUGAAACAAAUCCAUUCAUCUUCUUCGGUAAUCCCUCAUCGGAGUUUCAUCAUUUGACAAAGUAAGAACAUGAGACUACCACCAAUGUGAUCGUCUCCUCAUCACGAAUUCAACCUAAUGCUCAAAAUUAAUUUAUCUAAAUUGAGUAUGGAGAAUUUCAGAGAAGUUUUAGAAACAAGCAAGUCACAAAAAGUAAAAUUAAAUGAUGAACAUUAUCACUCAACACCAGAUAAGUUAGGGGAAAGCAUAAGAGGGUGAAGGACUACAUUGUGGUAACUCGUUUGAGUUCAAAUGAUGCUCAAAACUACCUUGUCCAAAUGUAGAUCGGAGGUUGAAGAAGCUUGAUCUGGUCAGGGCACUUCAGAAGGUCUUACAGAUUGAGAAUUAUUGCAAAAUCUUCAUAGGAGACUGAAAGUUUUAAUUGAAUCAAGAAAUUGAACUGAAACAAGCUAGAAAUCAAACACGAUAGCUCAAUUUUCUAGAAAUGUUUAAUAGUGGAGCAGGGGUUUUUUAGCUCUCCAAAGCUUGGGAAUAAGGCAAAUAUAUUGCUCUAUUUAUAGGGAAGUGAUUGGUGAUCUCAUACGUGCCAAAUGAUGCUUAAUUCGUGCAAAACAAAUUUGCUCAUGAUGUGAGAAAAGUGUGACUUGUAAAACCAUCAAAACUCAGCCAAAUUAUGCAUUAAAUGAUUCAUUUAACUUUUGAAGACUUGAUUAAUCAUGUUUAGGUCCAAAACGUGUGGUAAAUUGGCUUGUAAUUAAGGAUUAGUGAAGUUCAAAAUUCUGAACAUGGUGAUUUCUUCAGUUCCAAGUUACCAUGUUUAAUUCAAUGGGGCAUCUUGCCUAGGAGGCUUUUUGAUCUCAUUUUUCUUGCAAUUUUUGGACAUCAUAUCAAAGAUUACAAUGUGCCAAGAAAGGUUGCAUUUGGAUGCUUGAGCAGAAGUUUAUGGCAUGUUAAAGUUGGCACAAAAAUUUGGUUAUGCAACUUGGAAAAUUCUAAGUCCCAGAUGGCUAAAAAUGACCCAUAAUGUCUCAAAGAAUUCCAUGGUCUUCCAAGCAUAAUUUGACUUUGAUCCUUGAAGAAAACUUGUAGAGGGCAUCACAAAUGAUAUUAUUCAAAAAGAAUCAGCGUCAAAUGUUGGAAAUUGAAGAAGUUAUAAUCCUUGAAAGUUGAGAAAAAGUCACUUGAAAAUAGGUCAAAUUUCACUAGGUCCACAAAUGACCUAUAAUGUCUUCAAACUUUUGAUGAUCCUCCAUGCAUAAUUGGAUCUUGUAAUGUAAAGAGAAGUUAUAGAGGAUAUUUAGAAGAGUCAUAUGCAAAAAGAAACAUUCAAAAAUAUUGAGGAUUGAAGGAAUUGUGAACCUUGGAACUUUGACUUCAAAUGUUGAAUUUUUGGUCAAACCUCUUGGAAUAAACUUGUGUACUUGGACUUUUAUUGCAUUUCAAGGUACAUGGAUGAUCAUAUGAACUAAAAAUAAGGUGUCCUUAAAUUUAUUUUUAUUAAAUUUCUUAAAGUUUGAGGUAACAUAUUGAAGAAGGCAUGGAAAUAAACACAUGAACCUUUGCCUUUUCUUGAGACCGAUUAUCCACUUUUGUGUAACCGAUUACAAGCGCAAUAUUUUGAUUUUUCCUGCUAUUUUACUUGGUCAAUUCAGUUCCCAAUUGUGUUGUAUCUCUUGUAUAAGUGUUUAGAAUGCACACUCAUCUAAGGUUAAUGCAAUAAUAAUCUCUCACCCUUAAUUCUCCUCUUUCACACUCUACAUCCAAAGUAUCUCCACCAUUGUUCAUCAAACUUGUUGUGUCUUGUUCCAACAUUUGACAUCAAGAGUCUGGUUCAGAUCCACAAACACCUAGUGUGCAACAUGAAUUAUGUUUCCAAUGAAAGAAUCCCUGCAAACCUACAUAUCCUUGAUGCGAAGAAUUAUGAUAAAUGGUGCAAGAAAAUGAAGAUGUUGUUUGGCUACCAAAAUGUUCUUAAAGUAAUCAAGAAUGGUGUUAGCCCUCUUGUUCAAAAUGCAACAGAGGUGCAAAAAGAAACACAUAAGAAAGAGAAGAAGAAAUACUUCAAAGUGUUAUUCUUGAUCCAUCAAUGUGUUGAUGGCGACAAUUUUAAGAAAGUUGGUGAUUGCGAAUCGUCAAAGCAAGUGUGAGAGAUCUUAGAAAAGACAUGUGGAUGGGUUGACAAGGAAAAGGUGGCGAGGUUACAAACUUACAAACACCAGUUUGAAUUGAUUCAAAUGGAGGAAAAGGAGACAAUAAACUAUUUUGCAAUGAGAAUCACCCGGUUGGUGAAUCAAGUGAAGGCAUGCAAAGAAACUGUUACAAAGCAGUAUGUUGUCGCUAAAUCUUGCAUUCUUUAACACUAAGAUUUGACAAUAUAGUUGUGGCGAUUGAGGAGUCAAAGGAUCUCACGAUGAUGAGUAAAGAGAAGCUGCAAAGUUCUCUCGAGGCUCAUGAUAAAAGGAUGGAAGAGAGGAAUAACGUUAAGGCAAAGGCGGAGAUCGCUUUGCAAGCUCGUUUCAAUGAGAAGGACAAGAGAUCGAAAGGAAAAUGGCCCAAGAAAAGAAAAGGGAAUUUUCAUAAUUUUGGUGGAAGAGAGUCCUAAAAUUCAAAUAAUUUUACUUGUCAAAGGGGUGAGAGCAUCUUCAACAAACAUGGUGGUCAAGGCAACUUUAGAGGUAGAAGGAAGAGGUUUGACAAGAGCAAGGAGUAGUGCUAUAAGUAUCAAUGGUUUGGCCAGUUUGCAAAAGAAUGCAAUUUGAACAAGAAGGAAUCUCAAGGGGAUGAAGCCAAGGUUGCAAGAUAAGAGUUUGAUAAAGAGAAUACAUUUUUGGUCAUGAUCAAAGAAGGGAAUUGUAGCAGCAAACAACUGCGGGACAACAACUACAACAACUCAACGAAUGCUGAAUAGGUUGGUUGAAUGAUACGAUUAACCAAUUGCAUGAAGAGGAAGACGCCAUGAUGAGUUUGAAAGGAGUUCAAUGCAGUGAGGAGUGGUAUUUGGACUUGGUUUGUUCAACUCAUAUAACGGGAAUAAAGGAUUGGUGUGCCAAAAUCAAUUGUGCCAUGAAGAACAAAGUAAAGUUCGCGGAUGACACCACUCUAAUAUUCAAUGGGAUCAGUGAUGUUUUAAUCAUGAGAAGGGAUAAUGGACAUUCCUUGACCAUAAAUUCUUGUACAUUUAGGGAAUCAAAUGUAACCUUCUGAGUAUUGGCCAAUUUCUUGAGAAGGGUUAUAAGAUUCACAUGGAAGACAAGGGGUUGCGGGUUAUGGAUGUAAGAUGAGUCUUGGUCCUUAAAGCGCAUAUGGAUGCCAAUAAAACCUUUAAGGUUGAGUUGAAGGUUAUAGAGCAUAAAUAUCUUGCUACUGUAACAAGUAGACAAUAUUGGAUUUGGCACUAUCGUCUUAGGUAUCUCAACUUUAGAGAUUUCAAAGACUUUCAAAAGAACAGAAUGGUAACGGGGCUGCCAUCGAUCAACAUACUAGCUGAAAUUUAUGAAGAAUGUAUGCAAGCGAAGCAACAUAUGGGAAAAUUAAGAAAGUAGAUUCUAUUGGUGGCAAUAUGUAUUUUUUCACAUUUAUCGAUGAUCAUAGUACGAAGCUAUGGACAUACCUAAUCAAGAGAAAUGACGAUGUAUUUGAUGAUUGUUUGUCAUUGCAUAUAUUUAAUCGAAGAAUCAAAGAAAAAUAAGUGAAAUUUGAGAUAAAAUGAAGAAGAAUGAGGAAAAAAUAGCUAAGUGUGAAAAUUGUGGACUUAUUGAAAAUUUGAGUGAAAAGGGGAGCAAAACCGUGCAACCACGGGAAUAAUCACGCGCACCAUCACAUAGCAUCGUGCACGCGAUGGGGUCUUUAAAGCAGCAUUACACGCGCGAUACAAGGAAUCACGCGCGUGAUAAGUACUUUUUAUGGGCUUUUUAGACACGUUCUAGUCCAUUCUAACGCCUUUAAAAGAGGAUUUUCUGCACUUUCACAAGGGUUACAAAAUUGGGAGAUCUAGGCACGAUUUUGAGAGCACAAGUGGUGAUUUUUAUAGCAUUGGAAGCUAUUGGAGGCCAUUACUUCAACGUAUUUCACAUGUUAUUUUCAUCUAUCAAUUAUGGCAUUUUUAAUUGCAUUAUGAGUAGCUAAGCUCUUUUAUAUUAGGUUGUGUUAUGAUGAACCUAUUUCUAUAUUGUUGGAAUCUAUGUUGAUUUAACCAUUCUAAGAACCGUUUGAACUAUAAUUCCAUUCAAUUGCUUUUUGUUCAUAAUUCCUUUUAUGUGAGAUACUCUUUUAAUCUGAUUUUGGGCACAUAGGGAAUAUUGACUAUUAGUCUAUGUGUUGGACCUAGGGAAAUUGUUGUACUUACGCUGGUUGAAUAGGAAUAGGAGACCCUGAGUAGUGGCAUAGAGAAUUAAUGUUUUAUACAUCACCUAACCUUGCUUACGCUGGCAGACUAGGGAUAGAAAGCUCUGAGUAGUGGUUAGUGAGUUAUUUCGCGAGGGAUCAGCUAUAACGGUUUUGUUAAUUCGAUGUGGUGUUAUAGUGAUAAGACCAUUCGUAAAAGAUAUAAAACAUCAACAAUAGAGGAAUAGGGGAUUCUAGAACACAAUAUGCUCGUUUUCGUGAUAUUGUUUAAUUGUUUAUUUACUUUUCGCACUGAAACUCGAAAACCCCCCUUUUUACUAGUUUUCUAUAAAUUGCACACAUUUUGUCUUGCCUGAAGGAAAUUCAUGUGGAUUCGAUCUUUUUAUUACUUCGACAAUAUCAAUACACUUAUCGAGAAAUCAUUAAGUUUUUGGCGUCGUUGCCAGGGACUGUUGAUUUUUCAACAAGGCGAUGUUUGUGCAAUUUUUAUUUUUAUUUUUUUAGUCUUUUAGUUUUUUUUUUCUUUUUCUUGUUUAUCAUAGUGCUAUUGAGGUAUUUUUUGUUUGUGUAUGCACAAUUUAGGAUCAACAUUAAUACCAUUGGUUCUAGAAAUUGAAAGAACUACACGUGCUCUCAGAAAAGCAGUUAGAGAAGCAGCUCUGAAAGGAGGAAUACUAGAAGAAGAGCAACUAUCAAAUUCUUCUGACUCUGAAGAAGAAGCUGUAAUGGAAGCUGCACAACCCCUAACUAUGGGGCAUUAUUAUAAAUUAACCGAUGAAGGACACUUAUCAAGAGGGUUUGUGCUGGUAGACCCUGCUAACUUUGAUAUUAAAAAUUAUGUGCUUUAAGGUUUGAGAGAAAAUUCGUUUGAUGGGAACACGAUUAGAGACCCAUGGGUGCAUCUUACACACUUUUAUGAAAUAACUUAAAUGUGCAAACCAACUGAUGCCACUGAAGAGCAGGUUAAAUUGAGGUUGUUUGGGUUCUCACUAAUUGGAAGGGAGAAAGAUUGGUUACUUUGCCUUCCGAAUAAAACGAUACAUACUUGGAAGGAAUUAAAGGAUAAAUUCCUCGAAAUAUUUUUCAUUACUACUCAGUUUACCGAGCGCUAAGCAGAAAUUGUGAAUUUUGUGCAGCAGGAAACUGAGUCACUUUAUGACUCUUGAGAAAGAUUCAAAUUUUUGUUACGCAGAUGCCUGAAUCACAACAUGAAUAAUAUGGUGCAGAUGUAAAACUUCAUUAAAGGUCUCAAGAGUCAAACUCACAUGUUAUUGGAUGCUUCUACGAGAGGUACUAUCUGAAAAAUGAAUGAACCACGGGUAAAAGAUCUCAUUAAGAAGAUGUGUAUGAAGGAGUACCGAUCCAAGAAUGAAAGGUCGGUCAAGAUGGGAAUUGUGGGCACGCCUAAAGGUAUGUUACCUAUUGAUACCCACACUGCUCUUUUAGCUCAGAUUGAAUUAUUAAAUAAAAAUCUAGUUGGAAGCAGCUUAGUUAAAGCUAAUGUAGGCUAGGUACAAGCACUUGGGUGCGAUUUAUGUAGAAGAGAACAUGCGAAUGAAAGGUGUUCAUUGGAAGAGACAAGUGAGGAGGUCCAAUUUGCUAAUUUUUUAAAAAAUAACUUGUAUUCAAACACAUACAAUCUGGGUUGAAAAGACCAUCCAAAAUUCCGUUGGAAUAAUAAUCAAAAUUCAAAUGCUAACUAAGGGAUGCAACAAAGUCAACAAGCUCUGUUUCAAAGGAAUCCCAUCACAGUUGGUAGAGACCUCACAAAAUUUCAUUAAGGUCACUCAAAGUAGAUUUGAUAGGGUAAAGAAGACCCAUGAAUAAAUGAGUAGAAACUAGGAUGCGUCUAUCAAAAUUUUGGAGAUGAAGAUUGGUUAAUUAUCUAGAAAAGUAGCUACUUUGUCAAGCUCAAGUGGAGGAUUCACCAGUAACACCGUUGAUAACCAUAAGAAUGAUAACCCUAAAUAUAGGUUUAAGGGCAAUUACUGAAAAGGAUAAGGAUGAGAUAGUUAAACAAUGUGUGGUUAAGGCAUAUGAGGGUACCUGUAGCACCUCAAAUUUGCACCCCCCAUUCAUGCAUUCAUUUCAUUUUUUAGGUCAUUUAUCAUUCCAUAUUGCAUUGCAUUUUGGCAGUCAGCAUUGGCAUCAAGAGAUUCAUCAGUACAAAAGAGAAAGUUUUUUCUUGAGAUGAAGGCCAAAUGAUUAUACUAAAGAGCUUAUAUGAGCCCAGGUUCAUUUUGAAGCAAAGUUACCAAGUGGUAGAGGCCCAAACUCAUCAGUGCACUUCCAGGUCAUCUGAGGCCCAUACAAGUCAACUAUGCAGUCAACUAAGGGCUUUGAGUUGGGGAAAUGGUUUGAGACACUUCAUUCAUGUCCAAAAGAGGCUUUUUCAUCAUGUCAAACAUCUACCUUGAAGAUUUUGAAGUCAAAUCAAAAGUUUCCAAAAAUGGAAAGUGACCUGUAAUUCAAAGUUUCCAAAAAUGGCAAGUUUUUAGACCACAUUCAACUUGACUUUCCAACAUCAAAUAAGCUUCAAAUGAAUUUUUGGUCAACAUGAAAGUUGAAGAUAUUUCUCUCCUAUUUCCAAAAAGUCCAAGAGUAUGAGUAUCUGAUGAAUGGUUGAGAAGUUAUGAACAAAUGAUUGCAAAGUAUGCAUGGAACUUCAAAGUGCCAUAACUUUUGAUCCAAAACUCCAAAUUGAGCCACUCUUUUUGCAAAAUGCUUGUAUUGACCAAUAUUUUCCAAAUCAAACAUUGCAUUGCAUGAAAUUAACUCACAUGAUCAUUUGUCCAUGCAUGUAUAUUUUGGAGGGAAAAUGGAUAAUUCAAAUUCUAUUGAUCAUACAUGAAAAAUUCCUAUGCCAUUGUGAUCUUUGGAUGAUUUUAAGUGACUUUUAACCAUGCAUGUGCACUGUUCACGUGUAAAAUCUCCAUGCACCACACAUUUACCAUUUUUGCAUUACACCUCAUUUCUCAUUAAGUUUCCAUUAGCCAAGCCUAAUUGUGAUUAGCAUGAUAAUUAACAUGUGAUAUAAAUAGAUAAUCCUAACUGAAUUGGAUGAGAUUACACAUUCUAGAUCUAGAAAUUGGAUUUCCCUCCAAAAAUUCUCUCAAUUCAAACAUCAAAUUUCUACACAUAACUCAUGAAUUUUCUUGCAUAAUUGUGUUCAUCUUGCAUCAUUGAGUAAGAAUCAAGGCCUGGACUGAAGGAUUUGGUGCAGAGUCGAGCUCCACGAAUGCAUGAAAAUGAAGAAGGUUUUCUGAAUUUGAGCUUCAUUUAGGUAGUUUCAAUUGCUAUUCCUUCCAUAAAGCUUCACCUCAAGGUUGAUAGAGGAGACCUGGAGCUGGAGGAGGCUUGAAUCCACGAAAUCAUCGCACUGUUCUUCAAGAAGGUUAAAAUUUGAAUCUCAUUAUUUGCCAUUUUAUGCACAUGAUCUUGUAGGUCGUGCUCCACUGAUGAUUCUGAUAUGAAUAUUAUUGAUUUUGGCUGGAUAUUGAGUGAGUUAUGAUGAAUUAAAGUUUGUAUGCUAAAUUUGUUCUUGCUCGAUCCAUGAGAUAUGUGAUGAUUUAGAGUGAAUUAGGCAUGGAUUUGGAAUGUACGUUAUGCAAGCUUUCGAUCCAUAUCAUUUUUGCAUGAUUCUAGAAUUUUUUUGAUGCACCUUCAUCGGCGUACCACCGGAGAAGAUGACCGAAAGUACUAUUCCGGUCAUCUGGUUCAUGAGCUAGGGUUUUAAUGUGCGCACCUGUAACCAUGCAAGCCCCAGUUCGAUCCUUGGCAACUGUUAUUUUAAAAUCCAUUUAUUUUCUCCCUAUGAUCCAAACGUUGCGUUUUGCUCUAGCGCCCUUGUGAACAAGCCUUGCCUCUGUUCGAUUCUUGGCCUGGCAAUUAUCCCAAUUGAUUUUAUUGAGCGCGCCUAUGACCCUAUAGUCCUCAGUUCGAUUCAGGCGCUUUGCAUUUUUUCUUUUAUUUUCAAUUGAAGCGCUGCCUUGGACCUUUGUGUCCUGAGUUCAAUCCCUGACCAAGUAUUUUUCAUCUUUUAAUUCACAUUUCAUUUUUUCACAUGAUUGUUGUGAUGUCUAUUAUUUUUUGAUGUGAUUUUCCUAAUUUUUGUAUUUCUGGAAUUUUAAAUGUGUUUGUGUGAUUGAACAUGAUGCAAAUAUGACAUGUUAUGCUAAAUGUUUUAUGAAAUGCUCAUAUUUUAUCCAAUUGCCUUGAAAUUUGACAUGCUUGAUCUAUACAUGUGACAUGAUUUUUGAGCUUUUGUUUGGCAUUUUUAGCACAUUCCAUCACUGUUUGGGACACAUGAACAUAUGAUGUAGCAUUUGGUGUCACAUUCUUGACCUUGCUUGUGUUCAUUUUCAUUUGCAUGUCAUUUGAUAUCUUCUGGACCUAAUUCUUUGCAUGAUGCUUGUGUUUAAAAUUUUGAUCUCACAUAAAAAAUUUCAUGAUCAUUGGAUGCAUUUCUGUUUUAAUGUGGAUUUUCUACCUUUUUCUUGCCUUGUGUAGAUGAUGAAUAAGCACCACUGUUGAUUGACUGUUUGGUUUGUCUGAAUGUGAUAUUGACUGUUUGACUUUUGUACAGGUACAUUAGUCGCUUUUAGCUCUCGCUUGAGCUUUGCUUUGGUUGUGGUUGAUAUACCACCUAGGUAAUCACUCUAACUCCAUGUAGUCUGGAAGCCCUGUCGUUUCUUUUGGCAUGCAUUUGGUUGAAGUCCUCCUUAAGAGGCAAUGACUGUGUUUAUUUAUAUUUAUGCCAAAGACCUCCUUGUCGAGGCAUGUUACUUGUUAAGUCCUCCUAAGUGAAGAGGCAAUUGACAGAUGGAAAGGAUUAGCAAUCAAUCCCCUGUUAUUCGUUGAAUCGUUCAUUAUGCUCGCACUAUAUGCUGAUGCUCUUGAACCUAACCCAAGAUCCUUGUAUAUAGAGUCAGUCAAGUGGAAUAGGGUCCCUCUUUCUGGAUCCCCAGGUUUUCAUUGAUUUGAGCUCACCCAGGCCAGGGUUAAGAGCAUGAGGUCUUAUCCUCAUUACCUUUCAUCAGCUUCACCCUAACUCUCAAUGUUAGUGGUUAAGAGCUUCAGCACACCCCUACAGUUUUGGCUUGUUUGUCGAGGUUGAUAUGACCCCUUGACUAAAGCCUUACCCUCAGAUGUUUGAGCCCCUUGUUGGCGUGUUUACUUCAUGUAUAUGUUUUUGUGUGGUGUGAUUGUAUCCCCAUAGGAUUGCUAGACUUCGUAUAGUCUCUCGUUUGCAUGUCAAUUAAGGUAGCAUGGUUCCUUCGUCUAGGACUUCCUUUCUUGCGUGAGCAUUCCUAAAACACAAACAAACUUUAUCUUCUCUUAAGGACACGUUGACUCCUUCUACUACAGGUGAGUAAGUCUCCAAAGGUCGAGCAUCCAUCUAGGACUUCCUUUCUUGCGUGAGCAUUCCUAAAACACAAACAAACUUUAUCUUCUCUUAAGGACACGUUGACUCCUUCUACUACAGGUGAGUAAGUCUCCAAAGGUCGAGCAUCCGGUAGAUUGCAUAGUAACGUUGUUCACCUAAAAAACACAACAAACAGAAAUAGUUUAGCCGAACUACGACAACUCUGAUUCUCAUGUUCAGAUGAGAUACGUAGGCAUGAGAUGCGAUGUCUUGUCGAGUUUGACUGACGACUAACAUUAAUCCUUGCUAGUUUUCAUCCUCGUUGCGAUUCUUUUCUCUCGCCCUCGUUGCGAUUGAGACCUUCCUUUUCUCUUGCCCUAGUUGCAAUCGAGACCCUUCUUCUUUUCGUGUGUGUUUGUUAGGAGUCGGAUAUAAGUCCAUCUAUUGGCAUUCUGUUUCCUGUUUGCGUGUGUGUUUGUUAGGAGUUGGAUGUAAGUCCAUUUAUUGGCAUUCUGUUUCCUUGUGUGUUUGUUCGGAGUCGGAUGUAAGUCCAUCUAUUGGCACUCUGUUUCCUGUUUGUAUUUCCUUGUUAGGAGUUGGAUGUAAGUCCAUUUAUUGGCAUUCCGUUUCCUUUGAGUGUUCUUUUGACGUCUCAGCGUCUCUUUUCAGUGUUUUGUUUCGGCGUGCGUUAGCCGAGCUACGAGUGCUCUGAUUCUUCCUCUGGUUAGAGAAGAUACGUAUGCAUAGGAUGCGAUGUCCUAGCGAGCACGUCUCCCAUUUCCCCGAACUACGUCGACUCUGAUGUUUGUUUCUGACAAACUACGUAGGCCCAGGAUGCGACAUCCUGCCGAGUCUGCUUUCUCCGUCUCCUCUUCCGCCUGUUUAUUAUUCCAUUGCGUGCAGUCUUUGAGCAGUUUUAUUAGCAACCUUAUUCUUUCCUUCUGAGCGUGGAUCCCAUCGAGUACGACGGACGUGAGGGGUGCUAAUACCUUCCCCUUGCGUAACCGACUCCCGUACCUAGCAAUCUUUGUUCGUAAGACCAUUCCUUUCCCUUUUUCAGGUUUACUUCGAGGGUUUCCUUUCCCUCCUUUGGGAUAAAUAACGCACGGUGGCGGCUCUGUGUCUUUUCCCGCCGGUUGUUUUUCGCGAUGCGACAGUACCAAUCAAGGUGACCAAGAGGAAAGAGGAGUCACCAUUGAUCAACUUAUAGACAAAAAUUCUCCUUGGAGGAGAACAAAGAGGCAUAUCUUGACUGAACCAAAUCCUCCUUUACCAGAUUACGUAAAACCACCGUAGCCGAUAAUUAAAAAGAAAUUGGUUCAAGAUGAUGAAGCGGGAAUGUUUGCAAAGUUCAAGGAAGUUCUAGCUACUCUCCAGGAAAGUAUUUCAUUCCAUGAAAUUUUAGAACUAAUGCCUAAGUUUGUUAAAUUUAUGAAGGCGUUUCUAAAUGGGACGGAAGAGAAAUGAAUCAAGGAACAUGUAAACAUGACCGAAAAUGAUGAUAUGGUAAAACCUCAAUCCUUACAACCUAAACUAAAAGACUCAGGUAAGUUUAUUAUUUCUUGUAAUAUCAGUGGAUUCAAUAUUCUGCAUGCUCUAUGUGAUCUGGGGUUUAACAUAAAUGUCAUGCCACUGAAAACUGUCAAAGAAUUAAAAAUGGGUGAGAUCACACUGAAUAACAUGACUCUCACUCUAGUUGAAUCGUCUAUUACUCAAUCGAUUGUUACUUUACGCAACAUAUUAGUAUCUGUGGACGACUUAUUGUUUCCUAUAGAUGUUGUAGUGCAUGAUACAAAAGGAGAUUAAGGAGGAUCUGUUAUUCUUGGACGUCCAUUCUUGGCAACCGAGAAAGCAAAGAUUGAUGUGGACACUGGUCAACUUAUCUUGAAGUCAAAUAAAAGGAAUGUGGUUUUCAAGGUAUUUGACUGGGCAUCUUAUGUGGAUAAUUUGGAUACUUUAUACCAUCCGGAGGAAAAAGGUAGAAAAGUAGACAAAGGAACAAUGAGAAAGGAAGUGACAGGCGUGAGGGUAUCCCUUGCACCUGACGUACCUUAGACAUGGAUUGUCAAGCUAGUUACGUAAAAAAAGCGUCUGAUGGGAGGCAACCCAUCCGUAAGAAAUUAUUUUUAUGUCAUAGUGAAUUUUUAUUUUUCUAACCUUGUUAAUUUUUGUGUUAUGUUGUUCGAAGAGAAAAUAGGUAAAAGAAGAAAAGAAAGAAAAAGAAAAAGGGAAGAAAAUAGAAAAAGAAAAGAGAUAGGAAAGUUUCAGCCCCUGGAAUCAUCACGCAUGAUAAUAUAAACUAGUUAUUUACAAUAAAUUUUUUUGAUAUUUAUUUAAAGAAGCACAAUUAAUAUAAAGACAAUAACACACCAAUCACACAUAAUAAUUUUAGAAUAAUUAUACUCUAAGAUUUUGAGAGUCGUGAUAUCUCCUCUUCUUAAAUGUUUAAGAAUUGGAUCUCUCUCACUAAUCUCUAUCCCCUUAUUUAUUUUAAGAAUAAACAUAUUGAAUUAAUAAAACAUAAUUGCACAUUUCUUAUAGCGAUUAUACAAACAACUAUCAAAGUUGAAAAAACUAAAGAGAGGUCAACUCAAUCUUUAUCAAAUUAAAUUAAAGUUUAUUUUAAAACACAAACAACUAGUUCAUUAAAAAGAUAACUUGUUUAGUACACAAAUGAGAUCUUACUUAAUACAUAGAAAUAAGAUCUUACAAAACAUAGAUAUUAAAAACAUAGGAACAACAUGAAAAGUUUUCAAAAUGACAUAGACAUUGAUUAACAAAGACAUGAAUUAGUUUCGGGUAUUUUUUAACCAUCCAUCAAGGUAAACUUGUUUGGAGUCAGGGGUGAAUUUUUCUUUCUCGGCUCGGAUAUCUUUCAACCAUCCAUCAAGGUAAACCUGAUUGUUGUCUGAGGUGGAUUUUGUUGUCUCGGCUCGGAUAUCUUUCAACCAUCCAUCAAGGUAAACUUGGUUGGAGUCAGAGGGCAAUUUUAUUUUUUCAGCUCGAGUGUCUUUCAACCAACCAUCAAGAUAAACUUGUUUGGAAUCAGAGGUGGAUUUUGUUUUCUCUGCUCGGGUAUCUUUCAACCAUCCAUCAAGGUAUACUUGGUUGGAGUCAGGGGUGGAUUUUGUUCUCUCAUUUCGAGUAUCUUUCAACCAUCCAUCAAGGUAAACUUGGUUGGAGUCAGACAUGGUUUCUGUUUGCUUAGCUCGAGUAUUUUUUAACCAUCCAUCAAGGUAAACUUGGUUGGAGUCAGGGGUAGAUUUUUCUUUCUCAGCUCGGGUAUCUUUUAACCAUCCAUCAAGGUAAACUUGUUUGGAGUCAGAGGUGGGUUUUGUUUUCUCUGCUCGGGUAUCUUUCAACCAUCCAUCAAGGUAAACUUGAUUGGAGUUAGGCAUGGACUUUUCUUUCUCGGCUCUGGUAUCUUUCAACCAUCCAUCAAGGUAAACUUGGUUGGAUUCAGAGGUGGAUUUUGCUUUCUUUGCUCUGGUAUCUUUCAACCAUCCAUCAAGGUAAACUUGGUUGGAGUUAGGUAUUGACUUUUCUUUCUCAGCUCUGAUAUCUUUCAACCAUCCAUCAAGAUAAACUUGGUUGGUGUCACCUGUAGAUUUUGCUUUCUCAUCUCGAGUAUCUUUCAACCAUCCAUCAAGAUAAACUUGGUUGGAUUCAGAGGUGUCUUUUGCUUUCUUUGCUCUGGUAUCUUUCAACCAUCCAUCAAGAUAAACUUGAUCAGAGUCUUGGGAGGAUUUGGUUUUCUCUGCUCGUGUAUCUUUCAACCAUCCAUCAAGAUAAACUUGGUUAGAAUUAGCAAUUUGUUUUUGACUCUUCAAUGGAUUUUUGAGCCAACCAUCAAG
rnacentral:lncRNA from 1 species